rnacentral:lncRNA from 1 species
UAUUACAAAACUUCCCGGUGGGUUCCACGGAACUAUCUAAUAAAGCAUCUUUAUAUAACCUCCAUUGACACAGUCGCAUUAAAUUAUUUUCACAUCCCAAAUUUUCUCAUCUGAUCAAAUCUCUCAUCCACUGAACUGUUAUGGCUUCUUCUUCUUCCUCUUGUCCACCUCGAAACGCUAAGAAGAUGUAUGAUGUUUUUCUGAGUUUCAGAGGAGAGGACACCCGUGACAACUUUACUAGCCAUCUUCACUAUGUUUUGUCUCUGAAAAGUAUCAAAACUUUCGUUGAUGACCAACUUAUCAGAGGAGAGAACAUUUCACGGUCUCUUCUUGAUACAAUUGAAGCAUCAAGCAUCUCAAUUAUCAUUUUCUCAGAAAGGUAUGCUUCUUCUAGAUGGUGUCUCGAUGAACUUUUGAAGAUCCUCGAAUGCAAGCACGAUUAUGGACAGAUUGUGAUUCCAGUUUUCUAUCAAGUUGAUCCAUCACAUGUGAGAUCGCAAAGCCAGGAUUCUUCUUUUGGGAAGUAUUUUAGUGGGCUUGAAAAACUUUAUCCAGAGAAGAUGCAAAGAUGGAAGAAUGCUUUGACCGAAGCAGCCAACCUCUCUGGCUUUGAUUCUCAUGUCAUUAGGUACAAUAAUUUUCUAUCUGAUUCUUAGUAUUACAUUAACUAUGACAAUGAGUUUAAAUAUUUAUCCAUAAUAUAUUAAAUAAAUCAUUCUUAAUAAUGAGGAUUAGGUUUUUUUCUUGCACAUUUGAAUAACUUUCCAAUUAUUUUAUUUGAUGAAAUUCACAUUAUAUUAAUUAGCUAUUUCAUAUUGCAACUAAUUAAAAACACACGAUUCUCUGUCUCGCUUACAUAUAUUUGAACUAUGUUAAGAAAAUGUAAGCUGAGUCAGAUUGCCACGUCAUCAGUUGCCAAGCUGUCAUUCUGUUAUGCAGAGUGUCAUUAGAUUCGAAGUUUGUUAAGUUCCUUCCAAAAGUUUGUUACUAUCAGCUAGUUCUCAACUCAUGCUUUACACGUUGUAGAAGAUUCCAGAUCACACUAUAAAUAGCUCUGUAAUGUUUAGAUUGUUAUGUGAGCUUAAUAGAAACAAAUUUUCCAGCUUCUAGAUUUCUCUCGUUAAGCAUUUUCUUUCUCUUUCUUCUUUAUUUUCUUGUUAAACAAACAGAGUCUGGUACUUCUUAACUAACUAUAUAAUUGCUGUUAUUUUUUUACUAGGCCUGAAUCUAAACUUAUUGAGGAAAUUGCCAAUGACGUUUUGAAGAGGCUAGAUUCGACUUUUCAAAGUGAAAACAAAGGCUUGGUCGGAGUUGAAUGCCCCAUUGAAGAAAUUGAAUCAUUGUUAGGCACUGGGUCUGAGGGGGUUUGGAAACUAGGGAUUUGGGGCAUCGGUGGUAUAGGCAAGACAACAAUCGCUGAUGCUGUUUUUAACAAAAUCUCUAGACAUUUUGAAGGUUCUUACUUUGCGCAUAAUGUUAGAGAUGCAGAAGAAACUGGCAGAAUAAAGGACUUACAAAAGGAACUUCUGUCCAAGUUAUUGAAUGAUGGAAAUGUGAGGAACAUUGAGUUUGAACUCUACAGACUUGCUCGCAAGAAGGUUCUAAUUGUUUUUGAUGAUGUGAGUCAUCGAAGACAAAUACAAUCAUUAAUUGGAUGCCUUGAUGAGUUAGCUUCAGGGAGUCGAGUAAUAAUAACAACAAGAGAUAAACAAGUCCUUAAAAGUUGUUGGGCCACUCAAAUAUAUCAGAUGAAGGAAUUAGUAUAUGCUGAUGCUCAUAAGCUUUUCUGUCAGUGUGCUUUUGGAGGAGACCAUCCAGAUGCAAGUCAUACAGAGCUCACAGACAGGGCAAUCAAAUAUGCACAGGGAGUUCCUUUAGCUCUUAAAGUUUUGGGUUGCCAUCUAUGCGGAAGGAGCGAAGAGGUAUGGGAAAGUGCAAUGAGAAAACUGGAAAAAAUUCCUCACGAGGAAAUCCAGGAGGUGUUAAAAAUAAGUUAUGAUAGCUUGGAUGACUCUCAGAAGAAUGUUUUUCUAGAUAUUGCAUGUUUCUUUGAAGGAGAGCAUAGAGAUGAGGUGACAAGCUUUUUUGAUGCUAGUGGCCUCGAAGCUAAAAUAGAAUUAAGUGUUCUUGAAGGUAAGUCUCUCAUAACUUGCUUCCAUAACCACAUAAGAAUGCAUGACUUGAUACGAGAUAUGGGAAGAGAAAUUGUUCGAAAUGAAUCUAUCGAUCAUCCAGGAGAGCGCAGUAGGUUGUGGUAUCACAAGGAUAUUUAUGAAGUUUUGAAGAACAAUUCGGUGAGGAAUAAUAAGUUUUUAAUUGUAUCUUAUUUGUGUUACAUUUAUAUUAGCAAUUUGUCUGAAUAUGUCUUUUUGAAUAAAAAUAGCAUUAAUACAGCUUAAAAUUAAUUGAAAAAUAAUAUUAAAAAAUUGGUAAAAUAAAAUAAAUAGAUCCGAUAUUUCCCCAACUCAGUUUGAAACAUGCCUCUAAAAUCCCCAGCAAACUAGCGCCUUCGGAGAGAGACCCAAAAAAAAAAAAAAAAAACACCUCAAAUCUUAUUGCAUUUCCUUUUCAACUCAAGCUCUGCCCCUAUCCUUAUUUUUCACUAAAAAAAUUUGAUUGAAUUAAUUUUACAUUUUACAUAUUAAGCAUUUUCUUGAAUUUUCUAUUUUACACUUCCUAAAAGCAUUACCCAAAUAGUUUAUUAUAAAGUGAUUGUAAUAUCUCUAUUUGGGUUUGACGGCUUAAAAAUAAUUGUUUAUUUGUUUGCUUCAAUUAUAUACCAACUUAUGAUCUCCUAUUUGAUUGUUAGGGAACUGAAAAAAUCAAGGGUAUCUUCUUGGAUAUGAAUAAAGUCAAUAGAGAGAUACACAUGAAUUCCGAUGCUUUCUCAAAGAUGCCUAACUUGAGAUUCUUGAGAAUCUAUGGAGAUGAGAACAAAUGUAUGGUCUCUCAUUUAGAGGGUGUGCCAUUUGCUGAAGUGAGGCACCUCGAGUGGGCUCAAUGUCCUUUGAAAACGUUGAAUAUAUGUGCGGAGAAACUUGUUUCACUUAGAAUGCCUUGCAGCAAGGUUGAACAACUUUGGGAUGAUGUUCAGGUAUGUAUUUAUUUGAAAUUCUUUCAGUAAUCAAUUCUAAAUACAAUUGAUGCUAUAAUUAAUAUAUGUGAUAGUAUCUGUUUAUUUAUAAAGAUGAUGAUGAUAAUAAUAAUAAUAAUAAUUUUUUGGGGCACAGGAUCUUGUUAACUUAAAAGAAAUAGACCUCAGUGGAUCCGAGUCGUUAACGAAACUCCCAGACUUGUCACAGGCCAAAAAUCUUAAGAUUCUGAUGUUAGGCGGCUGUUUAAGUUUGAUGGAUACUCGCUCAUCUAUUCAAUAUCUAAAUAAACUUGAAGUUCUUUAUCUACGAAAGUGCGAAAGCCUGACGAGUCUUCCAAUUAGCAUUCCUUUCAAAGAUAUCAUUAACUUCCCAGGUGGAAUUGUUAGAGUGCAAUUUAUGCACUAGUUUUGCAUUAUUUACUUCCCUUAAUAUCAAUGUUUUGCACUUAAUAAUAGUGAUUUACUUGUGUUUUACUUUUGUAGGUGCAAUUCUAUUGAUUGAUGAUAUAAUUGAGCUAUAAGAUGAUGUUUAAGGAUGAUUGUUCUCUUAGAGAAAUUAUGAGCGUCAGAAGAACUUUGUUGAUAAGGCGUGGGCGCGUGCUGUCAACUGCGGACCUGCAGUUUUUAGUUUAACGUGUUUUGUAUUUUUGGUUAUUUUUGUAAUUACGAAUUUAAUAUUUCAGAUAUUAGGUUUUUAUUUUAAAUAGAAUUCUAAAAGAGAAGAGAGAGAGAGUAUUUAAGGGAGGAAUCUAUUGUGAAAAAGGGGGGGAUUUUGGAUUGGAGGAAAAGAAAUAAACCCUAGAUCUUAAUUUUUCUCUUCUCUCUAUGAAGAACUAAACCUAUUUUUCUGGUUGAAGGAUAAUAAAGCUUUGAUUCAUCACUACUGUGAGAUCUUUCUUGUGCUUUAAUUGUUUUAUUGCUUUUUGGGUAUUUGUUUAUUCUCUGAAUUAUUUUCAUGAUUAUGUUUGUUAAUUAGGUAAUUAGCCACUAUUUAAUUAUCAACUUAAUCUAUUGUCAAUUAAAGGAUUCAUCGUAUGAAGAAUUUAAUGUUUGUGACAAAUAACAUAGCAGAGAGUUGUGUUGUGAGAAUAAACAAUCUAAUUUAAAUGAAUCAUCAUAUGUGUUGAUUAGGAUUUGGGUCUCUCUGGUUUUUCAGGCUGUCAAUUGAUUAAAUCCUAUGAUCGUAUCUAGGGUUGUCCAUUGAUUAGGGAAAUAACCAACGGUCGUACCUUGGUUAUCGACUAGUUAAGGAGAGAUUGGCUAUUAGAGGGUCUCAAUAGCUAUAACCGGUCUAUUCAUAAGUAAUAAUAAUCUAUAUUUGAAUAAAUGAUCAGUAGUCGAAUCAAGCUGAGUUAAUUCCUUCAACCAGAGCUUUCUCCAAUUUGAAUUACAACUUUAAUUUGCAUUCUUGUUAUUUCAAUUUGAUUUUUAUUAUUGUCAACAAUUCCCCCAUUUUACGUUUUACGUUUCAAAAGGAUUUAAAUAAUUACCGAUCUCUGUGGACACGACCCUGCUCAAUCACUAUACACAAUUUAUUUAGAGUAGAAAUUUAUUUUUGUUGGAUUCGACAACCAUCAAAUUUUAGCGUCGUUGUCGGGGAUUGGUGUCAUUUAUUUAAUCCUUUUUACGUUUUACUUGGUGUAUGGUUCGUUCUUCUCGUACAGGUACACUUUCGUUUGAUCUUGAAAUUGAGAAGACAGCUCGCCAGCUGAGACAGCAGACUAAGCGAGCUAAGCAACGAUCCUCGUCGCCUUUGCUUUUUGAAACAGAUACGGUGCCUAAUUUAGUUGAAUCAUCUAGCGAUUCGGAAGAACAAGUGAUGGAUAGACCUGCACCUGUAGAAAGAACUCUUAGAGAGUUAGCUGAACCAGACUUGAAUCAGCAACCACUCUGCAUUCAAUAUGUAGAUUUGGAGGUAAAUUUUGAAUUAAAGUCUAGUCUUAUUCAUUUAUUACCCAAGUUUCAUGGUUUUGCAGGUGAAGAUCCUCAUAAACAUCUUAAGGAGUUUCAUGUUGUGUGUUCAAGUAUGAGACCACAAGGCGUGACUGAAGAGCAGAUUAAGCUGCGUGCUUUUCCGUUCUCUGUAGAUGGGCUAGCUAAAGACUGGUUGUAUUACUUGCCUCCUGGAUCGAUUACAACGUGGAAUGAUUUGAAGAAGCAGUUCCUCGAGAAGUACUUUCCUGCUUCAAGAGCUGCUAACAUCAGAAAAGACAUUUGUGGGAUCAAACAACUUCCUGGGGAGACUUUGUAUGAGUAUUGGGAGCGAUUCAAACAAUUGUGUGCCAGCUGUCCUCAGCAUCAGAUUUCUGAUCAACUUCUUAUUCAAUAUUUUUACGAAGGAUUAUCAUUGAUGGAUAGGAGUAUGAUAGAUGAUGCUAGUGGAGGCGUGUUGGUGAACAAGACCCCUACUCAAGCAAAGGAGUUGAUCUCAAAUAUGGCUGCCAAUGCACAACAAUUUGGCAGCAGACAAGAUGCCACUUCAAGAACGGUGAAUGAGGUAAAUAUUUCUUCUGUUGAACAACGUUUAGAUAAACUUACUUCCCUUAUGAAAAAGUUUGUUGUAGGUAAUGUGCAACAGGUGAAGACUUGUGGCAUUUGUUACAAUAUGGGUCAUUCAACUGAUAUGUGUCCUACACUUCAAGAAGAACCCGUUGAACAAGCCAAUGCAGUUAGAGGAUUUCCAGGCAUGCCUCAGAGGAGGUAUGAUCCUUAUGCACAAACAUACAAUCCGGGAUGGAAGGAUCAUCCCAACUUCAGCUAUGGAGUUAGGCCGUCAGGAUUCCCACAACAAUAUGCACCAAGACAACCAACACCUCCACAGUCAAACUCCAAGUCAGGUAUAUCUCUUGAAGAAAUUGUUAAAUCACUUGCGACUAACACUCAACAAUUUCAGCAGGCAACUACAGCAAGCAUUCAGAACUUGGAGAACCAAAUGAGUCAAUUGGCGACUACAGUGAGCCGUCUUGAGUCUCAAGUAUUAGGAAGAUUGCCUUCACAAUCUGAGGUGAAUCCAAAGCAAAACGUUAGUGCUGUCAUCCUUAGAAGUGGGAAGGAGUUGCAAGAGCCUAGUAAGAAAGUGACAAAGCAUGUAGAAAAUGAGCUUGAGAAGAAUGAAUUGAUGCCUAAAUCUCAAGAUACGCAACCCACCAGAGCGAAACCCCUACCUAUUGUGAUACCUCCUCCUUUUCCAAGCCGGUUUACAAAAUCCAAGAAGGAGGAACAAGAGAAAGACAUCCUUGAGACAUUUCGCAAGGUUGAGGUAAAUAUUCCUUUAUUAGAUGCUAUAAAACAAAUACCUCAAUAUGCUAAAGUCCUUAAGGAACUGUGCACCUCCAAAAGAAAAUUAAGAGGAGAUGAAAAAGUUCACAUGGGGGAGAAUGUUUCAGCAGUUUUCCAAAAGAAACUACCUCCUAAGUGCAAGAAUCCAGGUAUGUUUACUAUCCCUUGUAAAAUUGGUAGUGUUAGAGUUGAAAAGGCUAUGUUAGAUCUAGGAGCUUCUAUUAAUGUCAUGCCUCGUUCCAUUUAUUCAUCUUUGAAUGUUGGUCCAUUAAAAGAAACUGGCGUGAUAAUUCAACUAGCUGAUAGGUCUAAUGCAUAUCCUGAUGGGGUAUUAGAAGAUAUCUUAGUACAAGUUAAUGAGUUGGUUUUUCCUGCUGAUUUUUAUGUACUUGAUAUGAAAGAUGAUAACUCCUCUAAUUCUGUCCCAAUUUUGCUAGGAAGACCUUUUUCUUAAGACUGCUAGGACUAAAAUGGAUGUACAUAAAGGGACUCUCACUAUGGAGUUUGAUGGAGAGGUUAUAGAAUUCAAUAUGAAUGAUACCAUGAAAUAUCCUAGUGAGGAACAUUCGGUAUUUUCUGUGGAUGUUAUUAACCCUAUAGCGCAGGAAAUUUUUUACAAGGAAAAGACGAAGACAUUUCAUGAUAGAAUGAUUUUGAGAAAGGAGUUCUCAGUUGGUCAAAAAGUUCUUCUUUUUCAUUCUAAGCUUAAACAUUUUCCGGGUAAAUUACGUUCUUGCUGGGUUGGACCUUUUAUUGUUACUAAUGUUUUUCCUCAUGGUGCAGUUGAGAUUCGGAGUCCGAUCUCUGACAAAGUUUUUAAGGUUAAUGGUCAUCGCUUAAAACCUUUUUAUGAAGGUUUUUCGGUGAAUAUUGUGGAGGAUAUGACUCUCGAGAGUCCCAAUUAUGGAGAUUGAUGCAUAAAUGUGUCUAGCCAAAGACAUAAAACAAAGGCGCUUUUUGGGAGGCAAUCCAAAUAAUUUAUUUAUUUUGGUUUUUGUCAUAUCUUCUUUUAAUUUUGAUUCAGAUUUUUUUAAAAAAAUAAUGUGUUUGCUUAUUUUGGUCAGAAGAAAAUUUUUGAUAAGGCGUGCCCACGUCUUAACUAAUAAGUACUUCUGUGAUUUUUAAAGUAAAAUGGUUUUAAGGCGUGCCCACGUGCUUAUUAGAAAAGUACUUCUGAAAUUUUUAGUGUCUCAAGUGAUUCAUCACUAAAAAAAAAAAAAAAAAAAAUUAUUUUAUUUUAUUUUUUUUUCUAUCUAUUUAUUUUAAAAAAGCAAAAAAAAUAAAGAGAUUUUCUUUUGUUCUUUCUUUUAUAUAUAUAUUUAUUUAUUUAUUUAUUAAAAAAAAUUUCAAAAAUCACUGUUAAAAAAAAAAAAAGUUUUCACUGUUCACAAAAUCCCUAAUUUUCCAGAACUUGUUUUCUUCUCCAGCCGCUUGCAGCACACCAGCAGCACCCGCGAGCGCAGCACCAGCAUCGAGCACCAUCCCGCGAGCGCAGCACCAGCAUCCCGUGUCUCGCAGCCCAGCAACGCGCAACGAAGUCCCAGCAGCGCGCAACGCAGCGCAGCACCCGCAAAGCAAGCCUCAGCAGCGUGCAGCGCGAAUCAGCCCCAGCUGCGAGCGCAGCGCGAACUAGCCCCAGCUGCGAGCGCAGCGCGAACUAGCCCCAGCCCGAGCACGCAACGUAACAAGCGUCACCAGCACGCGCACCAGCAAUCCCCCAGCGCGCAGCAACAGCCGCAGCACGCAGAUCCAGCGUCACCAGUUCUCAGCAUCAGUCCCAUCCGCGCGCAACUGAACCAGCAGCCGUGCACCCGCAAGCUCCAGUCGAGCAGCAAUAGUCCGCAACCAGCCUGCGACCUGCAUUCCAGCCGCGUGAAUCGAAAUCCUUGACAAGAUGGAGCAGAAUUUGGCCGCAUACUUCAAGAGUGUGAGAUUUAUCCCACCAUUCCCGCCAAGCCCAUAGACGUUAUGAGGAUCAAAGCUCACAAUUCAGGGAAGUUUUUGCCUUUAAUCUUUUAUCCUUACGCUUUAAUUUUUAUGUGAGCUUUGAUUAUCUUACAUUGGGGACAAUGUAAGUUCUUGGUGUGGGGGAGGGAUUUUUGCAUUAUUGAUGUCUGGAAUUAUUGUUUUCACUCUACUUAUCUUUUUUUCACUCUACUCAUCCUUAAAUGAUUUUGGAGUUAGUAUGCUUUAUAUAUUAUUAAUUUUCUUUUCCUUUAUCUCUCACUACUCUUUUCCCAUCUAUCUCACAUUAUUUACAUCUAUUUUUUUUCUACCAUACUUUUUCAUCACUCACAUUUUAUCUUUCAUUUUUUUACUACAUACAUCUUUCUCGCUUAUUAUCCUUUUUACCUUUACUUUUAUAUCUCACUCAUACCUUCUUCUCAUUCUACACCACUAUUGAUGGUUGAUUCAUUUGAAGAGUGCAUAGGAUUUGAUGGCAAAUUUACCAACUUUGUGAGGAUUUGAGCCUAUGAGCAACCACUUUGCUCUAAUUAUUUUUGUUAUGUGAAUAUCAAUCCUAGUUUGUUUAUUCUAGAACUUGCUUUAUUAUGCAUGUUGAAGCCACAUUACGGGAUUUUAUGCAUUAAAAUGAUAAGGGCAAACCAUUUACCAUUUUUCUAUUCUCGCAUUUUCCUUUUUCUCUACCCGAAGACCUUUAUUUGCUACCUUUGUUUGAGCCUUAACAAUUACCCAUCUAAUUCUCUCCGUCUACUUAACCAUUUUUCUUCUUUUUUGAGCCUCAAUUUAAGGAGAUUUUUGGACUCAUUGUGUGGAUAUAUUUUGUUGCUUUUUCUACCUUGUAAUAAAGUUUCUCAAUUAGAUCAACAAGCAUUAUGCUUGAAUUAAAUUGUGCAAGGUUCGUUUCUUUUGUUUGAUUCAAAAACAAAAACAAAAAAAAAAAGAAAAAAAAAAGAAAAAAAAAAGAAAAAGAAAAAUCACAAAAAAAAAAUGUUUACAUUCUUGGUGACUUGAGUAGAAAUAAGCAUUUUGAUAUCAUAAGUUCAUUCAAUGAGUUCAUUCUUCUCGUUUUGAUCUCUUUUUCUUUCGUAAACCUUUCUUUUUCAUUUAACCCAUUUAACCCCAUUACAACCCUUUUAAGACCCUUAGAUUUUUGCUUUUUAUUCAUGUUUUGUGGAUUGAGAUGUGAUAUAUGAGCAAGCUUAUGGUAAUAGCAUUCUUUGAUUUGAUUUGAGUGGAUAAAUGACACCCUAAACACUUUGAGUGCAUGGAGUGAAGUUAUUGAGAGGGCUAUUACAUCUUGUUGCACUUGAAUUUUGAAUGGAUCUUCUUGGUGGUUGAAUGUUCUUAUUCUAUCUUAUGAAAUUCUAUGCUUUAAAAUCCUUGUCUCUCGAACGUUGAACGACUUAAUUUUUUGAGGUAUGCUUGCUUAAAAUUGUUUUUGGAUGAGUUGAGAUGAGAAUUUAGUGGAGAUUUGAGAUUAGUCUUGAGUUAUAUGCUUGAGGACAAGCAUCAUCUUGGUGUGGGGGAAUUUGUUAGAGUGCAAUUUAUGCACUAGUUUUGCAUUAUUUACUUCCCUUAAUAUCAAUGUUUUGCACUUAAUAAUAAUGAUUUACUUGUGUUUUACUUUUGUAGGUGCAAUGCUAUUGAUUGAUGAUAAAAUUAAGCUAUAAGAUGAUGUUUAAGGAUGAUUGUUCUCUUGGAGAAAUUAUGAGCGUCAGAAGAACUUUGUUGAUAAGGCGUGGGCGCGUGCUGUCAAUUGCGGACCUGCAGUUUUUAGUUUAACGUGUUUUGUAUUUUUGGUUAUUUUGUAAUUACGAAUUUAAUAUUUCAGAUAUUAGGAUUUUAUUUUAAAUAGAAUUCUAAAAGAGAAGAGAGAUAUAGUAUUUAAGGGAGGAAUCUAUUGUGAAAAAGGGGGGGAUUUUGGAUUGGAGGAAAAGAAAUAAACCCUAGAUCUUAAUUUUUCUCUUCUCUCUAUGAAGAACUAAACCUAUUUUUCUGGUUGAAGGAUAAUGAAGCUUUGAUUCAUCACUACUGUGAGAUCUUUCUUGUACUUUAAUUGUUUUAUUGCUUUUUGGGUAUUUGUUUAUUCUCUGAAUUAUUUUCAUGAUUAUGUUUGUUAAUUAGGUAAUUGGCCACUAUUUAAUUAUCAACUUAAUCUAUUGUCAAUUAAAGGAUUCAUCGUAUGAAGAAUUUAAUGUUUGUGACAAAUAACAUAGCAGAGAGUUGUGUUGUGAGAAUAAACAAUCUAAUUUAAAUGAAUCAUCGUAUGUGUUGAUUAGGAUUUGGGUCUCUCUGGUUUUUCAGGCUGUCAAUUGAUUAAAUCCUAUGAUCGUAUCUAGGGUUGUCCAUUGAUUAGGGAAAUAACCAACGGUCGUACCUUGGUUAUCGAUUAGUUAAGGAGAGAUUGGCUAUUAGAGGGUCUCAAUAGCUAUAACCGGUCUAUUCAUAAGUAAUAAUAAUCUAUAUUUGAAUAAAUGAUCAGUAGUCGAAUCAAGCUGAGUUAAUUCCUUCAACCAGAGCUUUCUCCAAUUUGAAUUACAACUUUAAUUUGCAUUCUUGUUAUUUCAAUUUGAUUUUUAUUAUUGUCAACAAUUCCCCCAUUUUACGUUUUACGUUUCAAAAGGAUUUAAAUAAUUACCGAUCUCUGUGGACACGACCCUGCUCAAUCACUAUACACAAUUUAUUUAGAGUAGGAAUUUAUUUUUGUUGGCUUCGACAACCAUCAGGAAUCAAAGAACUUGAAUAUUUGAAUGCAUUCAAAGAACUUCAAUGUUUGACUAUAAUGCAACAACUUCAAAAUUUGGCUCAUCUUUGAUAUUGAAUAGAUGAGCGAGUCUAUUCAAUAAGGUAACAUUUUUCAAGAUUCAAUUAAAUCCCAUUGCUUUUUUUCCGAGGAUGUUCAUGAGAUCUUUGAAAGUUGGAAUCAAACAUAGAUCAAGUUCUCAAUCUAAAAGGACAAAGCACAAAAAAUUAAACAACUUGUGAAAUCUCCCAGUGUUGUCUUAAAUGUCUCCAUAAAAAACAUGGUCGGCCAACUUUGCUCCAUCACCAUCACGCCAGCUCGCUAUGCCACGAGACACCCCCAGCUUCAUCACCAUCAUGUCACGCGAACCACAACUCCUCCACCAUUGUACCGUCUGAUCUCAUCAGUGCACAACACUGUUUCAUUGCCGCCGUGCCUCUUCUUCAUUGUCCUGUCAUCAAGCUGAAGGUUUGACUCUCAGUUUGUACUUGAUUACUGAAUUUGGGUUGGACUUUUAAAUUAAGGAUUGAUUGAAUUGGUUGGUGGAUGGGGUUUUUUUUUUUUUUUAUCAGUAAACUUUGUUGAAUCAGUGCUAGAAUUAAUAAUUUUCUGUUUCUUUUGUUGGAAACUAUUAUGAAAGGAAAAUGAGUUUUCGUCUCUUAUCUUGCCUCGAUAUUUGGCUAUCGGAAGAAAUUUUAUUUGAACUUAUUUCCUUUGUUGGGCUACGAGGACGCAGAGGCCCAAAAUUGCUAGUUGCUUGAUAAUUUUGGGAUAAAGAUGAAUCUUGAAAAAUGUGCGAGGAUUAUAUCAUGUGCCAAAUGGAUUCAUGGUUUGUGUGUUCAUGGGUUAUUGGAAAAGGAAACAACCGUUACUCACAAGAAAAAUGCCCUAGACAAAUGGGAUUAUGUUAUGGUAUGAGCAGAAGCAACAUAAGUGUGAGUUGAAAAUUGUCCAAAACUUAAUUAAAUCAUCCAAAGCAAAAUGUGUAAUGAUGAGGGGUUUGGGUUUUGCUUGUUUGAGUGUUGAAGAGAUCAUUAUUGCGGCUCUUCUGGGAGACAGCGAAAGCAUUUGCUUCCUAAUUCGAGCUUUUUAUUACUAUUACUAUUAUUAUUAUUCUUUAUUUCUCAUAGCAGUAACCAGUCUGAUUCAUCAGAUAUAAAUCUACUGUUAUCAUCAUGAUGAUCGUAACACACAUCUCUCAUUUAUUUCUUCUUGUGGAAAAGAAAACUCAUCUGCCCAUCACUCGCAUUUAGCAUGUUUUGCAAGAAAACAUGGCAAUGCAAAACAUUACCACUGCCUCACGUUAACUUUGCUUGCUUUGUUACUCACAAGAUUACAAAAAGGAUUCUUCUCUUUCACUUUUUGGUAUUUGAAAUUUUGAAGUAUAAAUGUUUAUUAAAUAUUUUAUUGUUUUCGGAGAGUAAUUUAUUUCCACUUGUCUUUCAUCUAUAUAUAUGUAUAUAAUGUGUGUGUGAACACUCUUAAGCAUUUGGAAAAUUUACGAAAAUAACCAUUAAUAUUUUAUUAUUUUCGCAAUUAACCCUGUCAACUUUUUUCUAUCAACAUUAGUCAAACACAAGCCUUUCUUCCCAAAUUACCCUUCUUUACAGAACAAAACCAACAUCGUUUCUCCCAUAUCGCCAAACCAAAAGUAGCUUUUCACUCUUGAAUCAUCAGCCAACGGCGACCGCAAAAGACAACGGUAAAAGUGAUAUCCGAUCAUAAUCUAUCCGGAUCCAACACAAAUCGACAUCACUUAGUGGUAUGAAUUAUUUUCUGAACUUAUUGAACUGAUUCGGGUGAAUCUGAAUCUGGCGACAGGCUGUCUGUCGCAGCAAAACUUGGUGCGAAUGGUUGGUGCGACAGGCACCUGUCGCACCAAGCAAGGUGCGACAGGCACCCUGUCGCACCAAGGUUCGACAGGCACCCUGUCGCACCAAGGUUCGGGCGACAGGUUGCCUGUCGCACCCACCCUGGAGAUUCAUUAAAACUGUAUUAUUUUAAUAGGACUCAAAUAAAUUUUUUUUUAUAAUUUCAGGGUUAAUGGAUUUAAUUGUACUUGAAUUGUGUUACGAUGGUUGGUGGGAGACAUUAGAGAAUGGCCGUAUGGAGUACGUGAAUGGUAAAAAUCGAGCUUUUUUUGUUGGAAAAAAUUAUCUGUUUGAUCAGUUAUUGGCAAGAGUAUACGAGGUGUUACAAAUAAACCCUAAUGACUAUAGUAUCACAAUGAAGACAACUUUGAGAUCUAGUAACACAUUAUAUCGUAUAUGUGCAAUGCCCAUGGAUAUAUGUGAUGAUGAAAUGGUGAGGGUUGUAUUGCAUAUGGCAUAUGACGUAGCUAAUUUUGGAUGCAUUCCUAUAUUCGUGACCACAUCACCUCGAGUUCCGAGUGAAGGUAUUGAGCCACAUGUCGAUACAGAAACUUCGUUUAGAGCAAAUAUGUCUGGCCCCGAUAAUGAUGAAGAGGUGUUGCCAAGGACAAUAUCGCUGCAGCAAUAUUACUCUCCAAUCCACAACAAUUAUGACAACAUUGAUGAUAAUGGUGUUACGUUACAGGAUGUUGGAGCAACGGUAUUUCCAAUAACAACGUCGUUGGAGCAACGAUAUUCUCCGUAUCACAACAAUGAUUUUCGGGACAAUGAUGAUUUUCAUAAUGAGACAGAGGGGGAUAAUGUUUGUGCAGAACCUUCUAAUAAUACGAGGCGGGGCACUCGUUUCAAUAAUGAUGGUGAUGAUGGAGGAGCCGGUCCUUCGAAUGUUCCGUCGUUUCAGCAUGAGGAUGAGGGUGAAGACAAUACUCCUGUGAAUAACAGAGGCAAUAGAUCUAUUCCUUCUAUGGUUCGAUCGAGAAGGAGAAUUGACCCCCUUACAAGUCUUGCUCUAACUUUGCCUUCGAACAUGGUUGCUCCAAGCUUUGUUAGCAGUUGUGACUCAGAUGAUAUCAGCGUGGGUAAGCUAUUUGCUGAGAAGAAUGAGCUUAUAUUACAACUACGCAAGGUGGCCUUUAGAGAUAAGUUUGAUUUCAAGAUUGCACGGUCUACUACGACACGUUUUGAGGCUCACUGUUGUUUAGAAUCAUGUAAAUGGCGUAUUCGAGCAACUAGAAGUUCGAACGAGCAAAAUGUUCCUUGGGUGGUGAAGAGAAUUGAUAAUGUACACACUUGUCAUAAUGAGGUAUUGGUUGAUGGACGUCAUCAAGUAAAGAGCCGGGUUGUCGGUCAUAUUAUCACAGAAAAAUAUAUUCAAGAUAAGAGGAUUUAUACUCCCAAUGACAUAAGAGCAUAUAUGCAACAGGAAUACGGUGUUCAGUUAACAUACCAGCAGGCAUAUAGGGCGAGAGAAGUUGGUCUUGAAAUAGUUCGCGGCAACCCUGCAGAGUCAUACAACUUGCUCCCUAAAUACUCUCACGUACUAACUAUAGCGAAUGAGGGUACAGUCACUCACCUCGAGCAGGAUGGAGAUGGUAAUUUCUUGUACUGUUUUGUAGCACUCGGAUCUUCCAUCAAGGGGUUUAUGCAGUACAUUCGGCCUGUCAUUGCUGUAGAUGGUACUCAUCUGAAGGGACUAUAUCGUGGAAGCAUGUUCGUGGCAACAUGUCUUGAUGGUAACAAUCAAUUGUAUUUGUUAGCCAUUGGGAUCAUGGAUUCAGAAAACAAUGAUGCUUGGGAAUGGUUUAUGCUGAAGUUACACGGAGUGAUUGGUGAUAAACCUGAGUUGGUAAUUAUCUCUGAUCGAUGCACUACCAUAAGGAGAGCCGUUCUUAAAGUAUUUCACAAUGCAACUCAUGGCGUUUGUUUUUACCACGUCAAAGGUAACAUUAAGUCACAAUUUAGAAUGUCCAAAGCUCUUUGGGAAGAAUUUGAGCCUGCCUUUAUUAAUGCAGCAAAAGCAUAUGGCCACGAGGAAUUUAAGAGACAACUUGAAGGGUUGUGGAUGAUCCACUCAGGUGCGGCUGAUUACCUAGAAAAUAAUGUCGGUACGUGUAAUUGGGCAAGGUCUCAGUUUGAAGGUAGGAGGUACAGCAUUCUUACCACUAACAUCGUGGAGAGUGUUAAUGCUUUCAUGAGGGAACCUCGAAAAUUUCCUGUUACUCAUCUUAUUGAUCACUUUAGGAAAAUAUUGCAGCAAUGGUUUUAUGAUAGAAAAAUUGUGGCUGAAUCAAUGACUACUCGGCUAACAACAUGGGCGGAUGAAAUAGUCACUGAGAGGAGAACUAUAGCUGAAAGAAUGAUAGUUCGGCCGGUGUCGCCGCAUCGCUUUCAAGUUAUAGGCGGUGGGCUUAAGGAAGGGUUGGUUGACUUGCAAAAGAGAACUUGCUCCUACAGAGUGUUUCAGCUUGAUCAGCUUGUGUGUGCUCAUGCAAUUGCGGCGUGUCUAACACACCGGGUGGAUUUUAUUAACCUUUGCUCGGACUUUUACACUACAGAAUCGUUGGUGAUGGCUUAUGCACAACCAGUGGAGCCAGUUGGUGAUGUGGCUGAUUGGGAAGUUCCAGAUGAAAUUCAGGAGAUGCAAGUAUACCCACCAGUUGAGGCACCACCACCUGGCCGUCGUAAAGAGCUCAGAAUACCCUCAGUUGGCGAGGACGUUGACCGGCGGACUGUAAGAUGCGGCCGGUGUCAUGAACUAGGCCAUAAUCGUAAGCGAUGUAAGAAUCCUAUUGCGUCGACUCGAAGUUAGUUGUAUUUUGUGUGUUAUUCGUUGGUUAAAACUAUUAUUGUUUUUUGUGUAUUGUACACUUAUAUUUCAUAAAACUUUAUUUUAUUUUAAAGUUCAAAAUGUGAGGCAUUAAAAUUAUAUAAACUUAAGUGUUCAAAUUAAAAAAAAAUUCAAAUUUCAACAUUAAAAUUACUACAUAGGUCUACAAUAUAAUAUCGUCAUUAAAUAUAUCAACCGCAAUCUUCUUUCUAAAAUACUCGACAUGACUAGCGUUAAACUCCAAUCUAAGCCCGAACAUUAAAUACAUCGUAACCAUCAAUACAAAAACACCGCAAUCGCCAGUUCCGGGCUCUUAUUGCGACGCGCUCUUAACUGCGAUAACUUUCCAUGGGUCUUCACUCCGCAACUCAGGUCGGAUAUUGUAGAAGCCAACAUAUUCCAACCAUCGAGGGAAUAUAACUUCAAGUGGCUUGAAUUUCAACUUGUACCUUUUGUUGUCGCGAAAUGUGAGUAAUGAGUCAUAAAUCCAGACUUUAUUUUUCCGAAAGUCAACUCGUGCUAGUACCCAAUGCGCGCCGUCCAAGUUAACAGGGAUGAGUAACUGCAUAUAAAAAUUGUUCAAAAUGUUUGUUAUAUAUGCAAUUGAAAUACAACAAAGAAAAAGCAACAACUCGAAUAUUUUCAUUAUAGAGCAUGUGAAAUGUAAUAAAAUACAUACCAUAUCGACAUCCGUCAUUGAUUUGGACAUUGUGUGCUGUCGCCCACAAAGAUAACUAUUCAAGCGGUCGUCGAAUACCAAUGAUUCGACCGCACAAUCCCCGUUAUUCCAUAACUGAUUCAAGAACACCUAGUAUAUAGAUAACCAAGAAAUGCAUAAAUUAACAAAACUUAAAGGCAAUAAUUAAAAAAAAUUAAAUAGUAUUUAUAAGUUUUGUCGGCACGUUAUCCAAAAAAAUGUAUCAGUAUGUGUGACACGUUGGAGUAAGGCAUUUGGAUACUGCCGUUAUUUCUCGCUAAUCAAGCGGAGAUACUCGUGAAUAUGCUGUAGAGAAACAGAAAUAUUACGAUUUAAAAGAAAAUUUUUAUACACAAAUCCACAACACUAAAAAAACUUCGAAAAUAUAAAUACCUCAUCGCCUAGCCAUCCCAUCGAAGCUGUACCCAAAAUUAUUUGAAAGAAUGACCGCGGGUGCUGGACUCUCCGGCGGACUCUGAUAUCACCAGUGAACCAUCGAUCAAACUCAGCAAACAGACUAGAGUCCUCCAAUCCUCUCAGUGGAUUUACAUCCACACUCGUACUCAUGUCAAUCGCAUGCUCCAUGAUUUGGGGUCGAGGUAAAGGCCGGACGUUCUGUCCUCGCCUGACCGGAGGAAUCAUGUAAGGACUGUUAUAAACAUACGAUGGUAUGUACGCGCGGCCGAACUUACUAACGCCCGGAGGCACCUCUGUGAACACCUGCACGCUCUCCCCACUAACAUCCCCGUACAAACUAUACAAUGACGUAGGCGUAGACAAAUUUUCAUUGCCCACGUCAGUAUACACUCCAUAGUCAUCCGGGGCCUGUACAUUCGCCAAAAAGAACAUAUUAAAUAACUAUCAAAUUAAAAGUUAAACGAACAUAAUUAUUAAAUUUAAAUUAGCUUACCGCAUACGAGCGUGCAGUGGGAGAAUCCUUAUUUGGACGUUUAGAAAAUGUGUCGAUGAAGCCAACAACGGUUUCUUUAAAAUCUUUUAAUUCUGACUUUAUUUCAUACACGUUACGAUCAAUCUUAUCCAGCCGUCGUUGUACGUAAUCAUUAAACUGCUUUGUCCUCGACUAUUACAAAAGAAAAAAAUAAAACUUUAGAAUAACAAUAAAAAAAUAAUAAUUGAUAAAGGAAAAUAUCGUAUAUUAUUUCUAACCUCAGAAUCCCGUGCGUCAUCAAAGUUGUCUGUUUGCUGCUGGUGGUCAUCAACAGCCACCUCAUCCUCAAAAGUGUCAUGACCCACCUCAUCCUCAAAAGUGUCAUGACGCUGCUCUGGUAUUGGGUUUGGUAUGUCGUCAUGAUCGUCAUGCUCGUCUGAUUGCCUUGUAACCGACGGCAUCGCGUUGAUUGAGGGUUGGUGCUGUAUAAAGUAUCAUUUAAAAUUAGUAAAUGAAAAGUCAAAAAUUUCGAUUAACAAAUUUUUAGUACUUAGAGUAUACCGACCUUAUGAACCCAGUCUGGAAUGCUUGGCAAGUAAUCCUUCACAGAGAGCCAAUAUUUUCUGCUACUCUCCUUUGAAUUUGGCUCAAGAGUUUGUAAAACGUCCCCCUGCCAUAAAUUCAAUUGAAAAUUUUAAGUAAGUAUACAUAACUUAAAUUUAGUAAAGUUAAAAAAAUAAGUAAUACAUAUUACUUACAAGACGAGAUUUGUCGUUGAAGAACGAAUAAACCUCCGCAAAGUUGAUUCUCGAAGACGCCAUGGGCUUCCAUUGCAGAAUGCGGGGAAUCUUAUUCUUCGUUUUGACGACCCAUGUUGAUGGCAACCCUCCGAUUGCUUCGUAAAUCCAAGCCUACAACAACCAAAGUGAAAAAUCAAAUAAAACAACUAUCAAAUAUUUAAUACUAUAAAACUUAUUAAUAAACAAAAAAAAAAGCACCUGAACCCUAGACGUAAAGCCGUAAAGAUUAUAUUUUUCAAUAUUAUGAUCUGGAUUUUUCAACCGAGUCUUCUUAAAUUUCUCGUCUUUCUCGAACAGUGCAUUGUCAAGACUCUCGUAAAUCAUUUCCCACGACAAUAGACCCCAUGGACGCUUUCGGAAGUACUGUAUAUCAUCAACUUGGUCAAGCUAAUCGAAAUUAAUUUGACAGUGAUUUUUUCUUGCAUUUAGUACUCUGUCCGCAAAAUAAAACAGCGCAAUCUUUAAUGCGUCCAUAUCGUCCAUUUCCUCGAAUUUCAACUCCUUAAAUACUGCAUCGAAUUGCUUCACAUUAAUCUUACGAUGCACACCACCAAAAUAUGUAUUCCGUAGCCUCUGCUCCAUUUCAUCAUUUUUUUUAUUGGUAUCAACACCAAAUGAAAGUCCAGUAACCAAGCACCAUUCGACAAUUGACAAGCGAAUCAAAUGCUUACCAAUUUGAAACCAUAACUGAUCCUCACGGCUAUCUUCUUCAUAGGCCACUUGCCGCAGUAAAAGAUUGUGCAAAAUUACCCCACUAAAUGGAAAACUUCGACACUCCAAGAAAUGCCCAAAUAUAUCCUUUUUGAACAUAAUCAACUGCCGCUUUGUUAAUUUUUCCUCGAUGGCUUUUACGACCGAAGAUAACAUACACAUGCUCGAAAUUCGACCAGGAAAGUGAUCAGCAUAACGAAAAUACAUCUUGCCUACUUCAAUAUCCGAUGAUUCUGAUUUCGCCAUGUAUCUGUAAUAUUUAUAAAAUUAAUACAUUACAUUUACAAAAAAAAAAAACUCGGUAAAAAAAAAAACUCUAAUUUUUUGUGCGACCGGCGCACCUGUCGCACCAAACCUGGUGCGACAGCAAGCCUCUCGCACCAAUCUGGUGCGAGAGCGCGCCUGUCGCACCAGAUUUGGUGCGACAGCGUGCCGCGCAUGGGCGCGCGCGCGCCCUGCCCCCUCCCUCCCCACCCCCAAAAUUAAGCACAAUCACUCCAAAAUCGAAAACAAUACUCCCAAACACCACCAACCACCACAAACAUCAUCACCACCACUAUUAAUCUCAAGCUAUAACUAUUAUUAUUCUAAAAUCUCAUUUUAAAUUAAUGAAAAUAAGAAAAAUGACUAACCUAGGUUUUGUUGAAGGUUGUAGAUUGUAGAUCGGAUGCCGGUGAGAGAUGGAGCCGCCGCCGACGAGGGUUGAUGUCGCCGCCGAUGAUGGGAGUUGGAUCGGUUUGUGAGAGAUGAGUGAAAGGGAGUGUUGGGGGAGAGAUGAGGGAGGGGUAUUUUGGUCUCAAAUGUUGUUUUAUGGCUAAUGUUGGUAGAAAUAUUUUUGGGGGGUUAAGAUGAAAAAAAGGGAAAUUUUUUUUGUUAUUACUGUAAAUUUCCCUAAGCAUUUUGGUUAGUAUAUAAUAUAACGUUAGAUUAACUGAGGAAAAAAUUGAAGGUAGAAGGUACUCAGUCACUAGGUCAGUUAAGUAUGCAAUUGUUUGGAUCACACAUUAUAGACCAUAGACGUCAACAAAAGUGAUUAUUAGAUAUUGAUGUUUAUAUUGUCUUGUCCUAAUAAGACUGAUCUUAAUAACGCUCGAUAAAAAGUCAAUUAAUGAUCCAUUUGAGAUUCAAGUGUUACGAAAUGUCACUGAACUAAAAAUAAUGGUUAGUAAAAGUUGGAAUCAAAGAACUGCCCUCAUCCAUCGAGUGCCUAUCUAAUCUGAAAAAACUAUAUAUUGUGGACUGUUCAAAGCUUGAGAGCAUCUCAAGUAGCAUAUUUAAGUUGAAGUCUCUUCAAUCUAUUGAAAUCUCUAAUUGUUCAAUUUUGAAGAGGUUUCUAGAGAUCCCGUCUUGUAAUAUAGAUGGAGGUAUUGGAAUUGAGCGACUAGCCUCAUGUAAGUUGGUACUGGAAAAAUGUUUAAGUCUUCAGAGUCUCCCUAGCAGCCUGUGUAUGUUCAAAUCUCUGACAUCUCUUGAAAUCAUUGAUUGCCAAAAUUUCAAGAUAUUGCCUUAUGAACUUGGAAAUUUAAAAGCCUUGGAGACGUUGAUCGUUGAUGGAACUCUUAUAAGAGAAGUACCGGAAAGCCUUGGUCAAUUAUCCUCACUAAAAAUUUUGGUACUAACUAAUAACGGUUUGAAGAGAUUACCAGAAAGCCUCAAUCAGUUAUCCUCACUAAAACGUUUGGUACUGUCUGAUAACCCUUUGAAGAUAUUACCAAAAAUCCUCAAUCAGUUAUCCUCACAAGAAUAUUUGGAACUGUCUGAUAACUAUUUGGAGAGAUUAAAAAAAAUCCUCUCGGAGCAGCAAAUAUCACUAGAAUAUUUGCUCCGAUCCGGAACGAGUAUCGAGGGAAUACCAGAAUACCUGAGGAGUCUUCCAAGUAAGUUGACAUCACUCAAUUUAUCUGUUGAGUUGAGAAAUUGUUUGCAAUUAGACCCGAAUGAGCUCAUUGAAAUCUUUAAAGAUGAGUGACUUAAAAUUCUUAUGAAUUGCUUAAGUAUGCAAGCAGAGCAGAAAACAAACAAUCUUUGUAUAUUAUGAUAUAACAUGAAUAAUAAUAGAUAUACACAUCCUUCACAUAUUUAUACUAAACGUGAAAAAUGGUAGCUUGCUCAAAGGGAAACAGAAAUGAAUAAGACAAAAGAUUACAGCUGCACUAGCCAAUCAUUGAAACAUUCUAGAAACUCCAGCUUGCAGUAUUCACGUGUAAAUAUUCCCCUGCAUAACAGUUUUGCCAGCUCAUUGAAGACACCUCAGCUUCUUCAUCAGCUGGCUGCUGGAUAUGGCUGCUCAGGUGGCAUGCCAACAUGGCCUUGGGGUCAACUGUUGACUCAUCUUCAUAAUCUGAAUUCUCAACAGAGUGGAUGAAGCAGGUGUGUCUCUUAACUCACUCCUUUCAUUCUAUUCUCUUUUUCUUUUUUCUUUAAUUCAAGCUAUCAUUACUUUUCAUAAAUUAAUAAUUUUUUAUUUUUGUGUUGCAGUCGUUUGAUGGUAACAUUGGGAUCGCUAAAAGUAUGUAUUUCCCUGGGAAUGAAAUUCCAAAGUGGUUUAGGUAUCAAAGUAUGGGAUCUUAUGUAACCUUGAAGACGCCACCAGCAGAUUUCUUCAAUAAUAAAAUAUUAGUAGGCUUUGCUUUUUGCAUUGUUGUAGCAUUUCCAGCCUCAGAGUACUUUGAGCAUCAAAUCCCAAGGACAUCUCGACCGUCGUUCUUUGGGAAUUAUGACGUGUACUGUGAUUGGAAACACAAAUCACAGUACACGAUUUGGGAAUUAUUGCUCUCUGUUGGGUGCAUGAUUUGGAUAUUCUUAUUAUACGCUAAUAUAAUAGCAAGGUAAAUCUUGUUUCUAUUAAUUGAUGAAGUUACUGGCUGACUUAUGAAACAGGUACAUGUUCUGGUUGAGGUAGUUUCUGGUGCUUCAAAUGCUACACCAAGCCUAGAAGAUAUCCUUUGCUUAAGAGAAAGGCGUGGCUCUUAUGAUUAUGUCACAAAAUAUUUGUGUACGUAAACGCAAUGAUUUGACUUGUACGUGGUUCAAAACUUCAAAUUUCCUUUUCUUUGUCACAAUAGUUGAUUGUUUGGAAAUGAGGCAGAGCACGCUAGUGAUACUGAACAGUGUCAUUUUCCAUUAGUUCAAGAUUGUUGGGAUGAAUGGUUCGAUCAAAACUGCUAAAUGGUUGCUAAGAUCUUUUCUCAAUGUCCUCCAAAAUCUGUUUGCUUUUACUGGAAUGGAAAUACAGUGCCAAGAGGAGGAGGUGAAGACACGAUCUUCGAAGAAAGAAAAUGAGGCAGAGCAAGCUAGCGAUAUUGGACAGGGUAUACAUGCAGGGGCACGACGGCAUUCUUAUUUCUCUCUCCAUCAAUUCUUAUUAAGGAGCCGAAGGGAUGUAUUUUAUUUCAUAGAUUUACUUCUUCAUUGAAUAUUUUGCUACUAUACCAAUGAUGCAACUUUUUGUAAUAUAUCUGAGUUGAAAUGAUGCUAGAGCUUGAGGCGAUCUUUUUUUUUUGGCCUUUUUGACAGUUCAAUUGGUGACUCUAAUAACUCCGUUGAUUGUCUUAGAUAUUUUUGGUGCAUAUAUGGUUGCAUUUUCUUCCUGAAAUUCUUGCUUAGAAGAUAGACAACAAGAUUUCAAUGCAGCAAGGGCAAGAUUUCAAGAUUUUCUUCCGCAAAUUCUUCCAUAUUGUCUUGCUUUCCUUGAAACUCUUUAGUAUCAAGAGCUGACCUUACUUCGUUUGGAGACAAUGCGUGCCUCCUAUACAUCAAAGCAUCGACAAAAUGCUCAUAGGACUUGGGAAGAGUGUGAAUUAAAAGAAGACCUUUAUCCUAAUCAUUUAAUGCCUCAUUAAUGGUCUCCAAAGUAUCACGUACUUCGUUAAAUUCUUCAAGAUGAUCAUCAACAGAUGAGCCUUCAACCAUCUUCAACGUAAACAUCCUCUCCUUGAUGUAAAGUCUGCUUGAAAUAGACUUUCCAACUUGGUCCACAAGUCAGGAACUGUCGUUUCUUUGGCCACCUCUCUUAUCUUGAGUCUGCAAGGCUCAAGAUUAUUGUGCCUCUAGCCUUUUUAUCAAUCUCUAAUUAAAUGUUCUCUAAUCAAAUAUGGCGCGCACGAGUUAGUAAAAGCAUGUGGCACGCACGUGAGUCAACAAGAUUGGUUCCAAUUUCCAAACAAUGUCCUCUGGCUGUCAGUUCUUCGGAUUAGCUUCCUGUAUGCGUUGUCGUCCAUUUCCAAAUAAUAUACGUCAGCUAAUUCCAAAACCACAUACGACAUUGUCUGUCGCUCUGUUUUGAGAUCACAGAUUCAACUUUUCAGUGUUAUAAAAUUUUGGAAAUGAUACGUCUUUGUCUUUCCAUGGAACAUAAUAUACAAAAGGAUUUUUGAAUGUGUUGCGUCGUGUUAUAAUUGGACGCUCUUUCAAUAGGUAGAAUCAUUCAUUAUUUGACAGCUGGGCUACACCAAAAAGCAAGAGGAAAAACAUUUUCAAUAUUCUUUAGUGAAUUACUAUUUUGGUAUUUAUAUAUAUAUAUUCCGUUGUCACAUUCAAUUAUUUUCAUCUGAUCAGUCUCUUGUCCAUUAAUUAGGGAUUUCAUUAUUUUUCAUCAAUUGAAUCUUUAAAAUGCAAUUGCUCAGAUGAACAUUAGUUAAUUUAAUUCGCCCAGUUCUGAUUUUCGUUAAAUUAAUAUAGUUUUUGAGUGUUAUAUGAGAGAUGAAUUUACAAAUCUUUAUGUCUGUGUAAAGAAAAUUUUCAGUCAAAAUCUCUGAACAAUUUUUCUAGAAGAAUACCACUUCCAUGAAAAAUUUGUUUUUUAUUUCCUCUUCAAACGUAAAGUUUGCGUCACAUACAUUAGUCGAUCGGUCUUCAACUAACCUUUUUUUUUUUAAAUAAAAAAAAUGAAUGGUUCUCAAUUAGCUUAGUAAAGUAGACAAUGAGAUGAAACUACCGCGAAAUUAACUACAAGUGACGGGAGUAUGUAAAGCAUCUAUAUAUCCCACGCGCAUUUCAUUCAAUUAAUUAAUUAUCAUCACUAUCCUAUCAAAUGGAAGGUUCAAAGAAAGUAUUUGUUAGAGUUUUUUUUUUUUUUUUUUUAGUUUAAUCGUUCGAAAUGAUUAAAAGGUAGACGACUAUUCGCGAAAGUUGAGGUAUAUAUUGAUGAGCUACCAACGUUUGUUUGUAUUCUUAUAUUACCAACGUAUUUUGGUCAACUUUGCUAGCAUCUAAUAGAAAAUCUAUGUAAAAUUUAUAUAAAAAAAAUUGAAAAUUACUUAUACAAUUUUGAUCUUACAAAUUUAUAAAAGCUAAAUAAAUAGGUUAGCACGUAUAGGUAUUAAGACAACUUUUGAUUUUACAGCAUGUACUUAAAUAAAGAAAGUCUUUGAUGUUCUGGUAGCAUUGCACCUUAUCCAUUCAUUACUUAUUACAUAAUUAAAAAAAAAAAAAAGGCAAAUAUUUCGGGCACUGUAGCAGUUCUCCAUAAUUAAUGUCUACUUCGAGUUUAACUCAACGACCACUCAAAGCAGCUUCAUACGAAGUUAAUAAUUGGAUGGACUUGAAAAAGGAAUGUUCAAAAAAGUAGUCAAAGGAUUUAUACUUUUCAUAUUUUUUUUUUAAAUUUAUUUUAGCUGUCAUCAAUUAUUUGUUUCUUCAAUUGAAACUGAGAUGAAACUGCAACGAAACUUCCUGGAAUUAAGGUUCGAAGCAAGCAUAUCUGUAUACACUCUGCACUGACAUUCAUCUAUUUUCACAUCUACCAAUUUUUCGGAUCAAUUGAACUACUUCUGUUAUGGCUUCUUCUUCUUCUUCUUCUUUAUCUCCUCGAAACAUUAACAAGUAUGAUGUUUUUCUUAGUUUCAGAGGAGAGGACACCCGUGACAACUUUACCAGCCAUCUUUAUUCUGCUUUGUCGCUAAAAAGUAUUCAAACUUUCAUUGAUGACCAACUUAAUAGAGGAGAUGAAAUUUCACAGUCUCUUGUGUAUGCAAUUGAAAAUUCAGCCAUUUCACUCAUCAUUUUCUCUGAAGGGUAUGCCUCUUCCAGAUGGUGUCUCGAUGAACUUGUGAAAAUCCUCCAAUGCAAAAGAGAGUAUGCACAGAUUGUGAUUCCAGUUUUUUAUCGCGUUGAUCCAUCGGACGUGAGAAACCAAACAGGUCCUUUUGGGGAUUCAUUUUCAAAGCUUGAAGAAAGAUUUAAGGAGAAUUCCGAGAAGCUGAAGAGUUGGAGGAAUGCUUUGAAGGAGGCGGCCAGUUUUUCUGGCUUUGAUUCUCAGAACUUUAGGUAAUUAAAGUUCUUUCCUCAUACCAUAAUGAUGAUGCCACAUAAAGUUAUUUUCUGCUCAAUUAAUUACCAGCACUCCUGAUAGUUAUAGUGAUAUUUUUUGUCAAAUAUGCUGAAUUAUAUACUUCAAUUUUAUUAGGUAUCCUAAUGCUUUUCGCAAGUGAUUUGUGGUAUUGAUCUUUGAUAGUGACAAUUGGUGUGUUGAAUUCUGUACGUGAACAACUUGUAGAUUUUUCGAAAUUUAAAUUCUUUUAAAAGAAUUUUGAAGGAUUAAUAAAAACGGUAUUUAUGUGUUUUCAUUGGGUGUCCUGUCAUAUUUUAAGUAGUUUCAAUAUGUCACUCAUAUUCUUGAAAUUUAAGAGUUAUUGAUUCAUACUUGGUGCAAAUCCAUCCUAUUUGAUUUUACUGCUAUUUAACAUAUUUGUUAGGCUUGAAUCGGAACUUAUAAAGAAAGCUGUUCAUCACAUUUUGAAGAGACUGGCUGAAAUGUCUCCACGUAACUACAAAAACCAGUUGGUUGGAGUAGAAUCAAGAGUUAAGGAAAUUGAAUCUCUAUUAGGUGCUGAGUCAAAAUAUGUUUACACUUUAGGGAUUUGGGGCUUCGGUGGUAUGGGGAAGACAACAAUUGCUCGAGCUAUUUUCGAUAAAAUCUCUAGUAACUUUGAAGGUUCUUGCUUCCUUCAAAAUGUUAGAGAAGAAUCACAAAGACCGGGAGGAUUAGCUUAUUUGCGACAAGAACUUUUUUCAAAAUUAUUAAAGGAAGAAGAUGUGAUUCUUGAUAUUGACCUAAACUUUAGAAGGCUCAGCAGCAGGAAGGUUUUGAUUGUUUUUGAUGAUGUGACUUGCUUCAACCAAGUAGAAUCCUUAAUUAGAAGUCUCGAUUGGUUCAUGCCUGAGAGUCAAAUCAUUAUAACCACAAGAGAUAAACAAAUUCUUAGGAAUUGGGGAGUGAAAAAAAUAUAUGAGAUGAAGGCAUUAAUGUUUAAUCAUGCCCUUGAGCUUUUUAGUCGACAUGCAUUCAGACAAAACUAUCCGCAUGUGGGUUAUGAGGAACUAUCAAGGAAGGUAAUGGAAUAUGCUCAAGGUGUUCCUUUAGCUCUUAAAGUUUUGGGCUGCUUUCUAUUUGAAAGGGAAAAAGAAGUAUGGGAAGAUGCAAUAAACAAAUUGAGAAGGAUUCUCCAUCCUAGUAUCCAAGAGGUACUAAAAUUAAGUUAUGAUGGUCUGGAUGAUAAAGAAAAAAACAUUUUCCUAGAUGUUGCUUGUUUCUUAAAUGGUGAGGAUAUAUAUUCGGUUAUGAAGUUCCUUGAUACAAGUGGCUUCUACCCAGAAAUUGGUAUUAGUGUUCUUAUUGAUAAGUCUCUCAUUGCUGUUUCGUGCAACAAGAUAACAAUGCAUGAUUUGCUACAAGGAUUGGGUAGGGAAAUUGUUCAGCAAGAAUCAAUUAAUCGUGGAAACCGUAGUCGAUUAUGGCAUCACGAGGAUAUCUAUGAAGUUCUUACACAUAAUAUGGUAAGCAUUUUGUUGGGAUUAUUAUUUCUGAAUUAUCUUGCAUUUACUAAGUUGAUAUUGUACAUAUAUUUAUAUACGCUGAAACUAAAGAAUCAUAGAAUAUAUAGAAAAGUGACAAUGAUUUAAAAAAAAAAAGUUUUUAGAUCAUGUAAUGUAGCAUUAAUAAAUAAUAAAUACCAUGCCAACAUUUAUAUUAUCUUUUGUACGAAUAUAAAAUUUAUAUGUCACUUUUGUAUAGCAAACAUACAUAGUUUAUAUGUUUGGUGUUACUUGUAUGAUUACCCUUUUUUUGUAGGUUUGCAAUAACGAGUUUGGCCGCCUAACAAUAAUUACCAACUUGCGUUACAGAAUUGUAUCCGAAUUAAGUAUUUAAACUAAGCAAACUUAGUACUAUUGUUACGUAAUUUUGAUUUUAACUUUAUGGUCUUUCAUUGGUUAUAAGGGGACUGAAAAAAUUGAGGGCAUCUGCUUGGAUAUGUCUAAAGUGAAGGAGAUCCAUAUAAAUUCCAAUACUUUCACAAAGAUGUGUAGAUUGAGAUUUUUGAAAUUUUAUAGCUCAAUUGAAGGAGAGAACAAAUGUAAGGUGUCUGAUUUCCAAGGCCCUGGAUUUGCUGAAGUGAGGUAUCUUCACUGGCAUAGAUAUCCAUUGAAAUCAUUACCAUCGAAUAUUCAGCCAGAGAAGCUUGUUUUACUUGAAAUGCCUCAUAGCAAUAUUCAACAACUCUGGGAUGGUGUCCAGGCAUGUAUAUCUUUAUAUAUAUAUUCAUGUUUCAGUGAUAAUGUUAUAACUAUGAUCAUACAUGCUAAUAUUUUUCUCUGCCUCUUUUUUCGAGAGCAGCAUCAUGGUAAGCUAAAGCAGAUAAUCAGUGUUGUCUGUAAUAUUUUUACCAACACUCCAAAGCCCUUGCUGAUUCCACAUCUGGACAUGCUAGUUAUCUUGAAUCUAAGCGGUUGCUCAAAGCUGAAGAGGCUUCCAGAUAUCUCAUCAGCUGGUAAUAUGCAAAAGAUAUUUUUAAAUGGAACUGCAAUAGAAGAAUUGCCUUCAUCGAUCGAGUGUCUACGUGGGCUUUUGGGCUUAUACCUUGAAGACUGUAAAAGUCUCAAGAGUCUCCCAAACAGCCUAUGUAACUUAAAAUCUCUUGCAUAUCUUAACCUCAAUGGUUGCUCAAAUCUUCAGAGAUUGCCUGAAAGUCUUGGUCAGUUAUCCUCACUAGUUGAAUUGUAUCUGGAGAAAAACAAUUUGGAGAGAAUACCAGAAAGCAUUGUACACCUUUCCAAGUUGAAAUUUCUCUUCUUAAGGUAUUCUCAGAGGCUUCAAUCCUUACCAAAGCUUCCAUGCAGUCUAUUUAAGUUGGAUGCCCAUCGUUGCAUGGCACUGGAAUCAUUGUCAGGUUUAUUCUCAAGUUACGAAUCUUAUCGGCAAAAUUUUGACCUGAGCGAUAAUUUUAAAUUGAACCAGAAUCAGCUCAGAGGAAUUGUCGAAGAUGCUAUGCUAGAAAUUCAGAUUAUGGCGACUACUCGCUGGAAAGAAGAAGAAGAGCAAAAUGUCUGUGCGUGUGGUUAUUUAUUUUUAAAAAAAAAAUCUGCACAAGGCUUUUUUUUUGGUUCUUUAAUAACUUUAAAUAAAAAUUAACAUUAUUUUUUUAAUUACUAUUUUGGUGAUGCAGAGAUAUUUCCCAUCAUGUGAUGGUCUCGUCAUUUUACCUGGGAAUGAAAUUCCAACGUGGUUUCGGUUUCAAAGUAUGGGAUCUUCUAUUACCUUGCCACCAGGUUGCUUGAGUAAUAAAAAAUUACUCAGCUUUGCUUUUAGCGCUAUUGUAGCAUUCCCACACCAUCAUUUCACGGAAAGGAAGUUUCUAUUGUUCGGUGAAUUCAAAGUCAAAUCCUACAUAAAAAAGAAAAAAGAAAAAAAUCAAUAUUUCGAUCCUCUUGUCGUAAAGAUUUCUUUGGGAGUUGUUAACUUUGUAGAUUCAGAUCACUUACUUUUGGGUUACUAUUCCACUAUACCUCUUACCAUCAUACAUCCUCAUGAUUGGGAAUACAAUAUCGUUCCUGAGGCAGUCCGGUUCGGUGUUGAGAAAGCUACAGGUUCCGAAUCGUUGGAGAUAGAGUGCAAGUGUUGCGGGAUGAGAAAAUGGGGGAUCCAUUUUUUUUGAAGAGGAGGAACCAGACCCAAAAGUCUGAAAUAUUUGUAAUUGUAAUUUUAUUGUUUUUCUUUUGCCUGCCACUAUUAAAUUUUUUUUACUGAAAAACACCUCAGCAAAAUGAGGGAAACAAUUAUUCAAAUAUUAAGGAUUGCCUCAAACUUAUAUUAUUAGUCUAACAACUAUUCUCAACCAAUGUGGAAUAAUAUUUUCAAUACAAUUUAUAUGAUUCCUCGUAGGAGGUAUCUUAAUUCUUCAUUAUCGUCAGGAUUUCCUGAAGUUGUUCAUUCCUGUAAUCUCGGCGGUUGCUGGUUACUUGGAAAUGGAUCUAAAGUCGAAGCCGACAAGCCUUGUUAAUUAUUUUGGGUAAUCGCUAUUAAUAUGCUACUGCACAACCUUUUAUCAUUACUAAUAGGAAAUGUCAAUAUGAGUUGUUGGGGACAAAAUUCAUUUAUUCACGUGGCUAGUAUAAUUUCACAUUUAAAGAUACAAUAGCCACUGAUUAUUAAGACAAAUCAAAUGAACGGUAUAAAUGUAUAAUAUACUUAGCAACACUGUGAUAUUGCUUGGCAUCCUAGUUCCUGCACAUUGCUGAAUCUCUCAAAUCGGUGUGUUAUUUUUUCUAUUAAUUAAUAGAGGCAGAGCAACCGAAAAGUUGAACAGGGUCAUGAGGUCCUUUUCCUGAUGUAAUUGGAGUACGACCAGUAUUAAUAUCAGCUGCGGCUAACAAAUGCAUGUUUAGUGAAUGAAGCCCUGCUUAACCACACUCCAUUGGUACCAUCACCACUUGGUUUAAAAUUCACUUUAUUAGAAUCAUUAGAAGAGAAUGUUUAUGUACACAGGAUUGUAGCCCCUGAAUGACAGGAUUUUGAGGCGCCCCCAUGUCAUGUCAAAACAAUAUAAUGAAAGUGUUUUCAAAUCCAUUAAUCAAACUCUUCUAUUCAAUAUUAUUUUCUUUGCAUUUUUUUCAAUCCUCCCCUCAUUUUUGGACGAGAUAUAGAUGUAUUUGCUUUGUAUCGGUUAUGGUUAUGUACAUACUUUUAGACUAUGAUGGCACUGUAUCAUUUUGAAAUAUUUUCUCCUUUGUUUGGCUCAAUUUUUGUAAAAGUAUCUGUGGAAUUAGUCGUAAUUUCAUCUAAAAUAGUUAUAGCAAACUUGAUUUAUGGCCAUUAUGAAUUGUCCUUUACAAAGGACAGAUUCACAUGCUUUCAAACAGAAAUCCUCAUGACCUCUAGAGGAUUCUGAUCAAAUGCUGAUUCAUCCAACACGUCAUCACAAUUUCUUAUUUAUGCCACAAUACUGUCUGAUGCACACGAGUCGUCUUCACGACAGAGCUUUGGAUAUGAGGGGUUCAUUGAGGCAUUUUGUCGAGCACUCUGUCCAUUCUAUCAAACACCCUGCAUUGUCUAUCAUUUUCCAACAAUCUUAAUGUCCAUUCCCUGGAAUGUAAAUUCCAUGUUCAAAUUUCAUGGUAUUGCUGUUUUCCUACUAAUGAUGUUCAUAGAAAUGAUACUUUCUCCUCCCCCCAUUGAAAAUAUGCCUUAAAUAGAAUGUCCGGAUGAAUUAUACGUAAUGCACUUUUACCUCGGCAUUAUCAAAUGAGAUUACUUACCCAAUCGGUCAAUUACGUUGGACUUAUGGCUCUUUAUGAUUUGGAAAAAUUCCUGUAAGUGGAGGGAUGCAUUUUAUUUCAUAUAUUUAUUUCUCUAUUGAAGAUUCUGCUAUUUUACCAAAAAUACAAUUUUUUGAACUAUUUCCGAGUUGGUAUGAUCUAGGGCUUGGGGCAAUUAGUUUUUUUUUACUGUUCAAUUGGUGUCUCAUUAUAUAAAUUUUUUUUUUUUGUCUAAGAUAUUUAAUGAAGCAAGGCUGGUAGGGCAACACCGAAAUUACUUUAUAAGUUUUCCUUCCGCAUUAUUUGUUUGAAUUUUAUUUUAUUUUUGUUUUCAAUGCCCAAGUUUGCAUGAGAACAAUCCGGCGCAUUUUUUUUGUCACCACUCAUCUUUUAACAAUAAAUAAAUAAAAAGCCUAGAACAAUCUUUGCCAAUCAUAUAUUUUUUAGGGAAAUUGUGGUCAGGAAUCGACUUUCAUAUAUUUUUUAGGGAAAUUAUCUUUGUACUGUCUUUAUUUUGUCAUAUAUACAUCUAAUCACUGUAAAAUUUUGACAUAUUCUUUACACCACUUUUGUUUCUCAACUUGUAUCGGUCAACCACUUUAAUAUUAAAAAUGACUAUUUUACCCCUAAAUAAAUUAAAAUAUUAUUUUAUUCUUUAAAAUUUUGAAAAAUAAAAAUAUAAUUACAAGAAUACCCCUAAAUUAAUAAAACAAAUAAAUCUCAAAAUCUAAGAUGUUAAUGUUUUAUAAUUAUAAUUUCAUUUAAUUUUUGUAAGUAAAUUAAGUAUGGCAAAGUUUACAAAAAUUAACAUGAAGAAAAAAGUACCUUAUAAUGAUUGUAAACUUCCCUAUAAUUAAAAUUAACAAAUUUUUCUAUACAAAUUGAAGAUUCUGCUGUAAGAAUAACUAGUUUUGAAGUCCAACAAAAAUACACUCACUAGUUGUGUUCUUGGAAUAUCGGCUUACAAAGUAGGACUUGUUACAAAUAUAACAUAUACAAUCACCAACAUAUAGGUUUUCUAUUAACCAUCAGCUGCAGAUACAAAACUUCCAAACCCAUAAUUAGAUAGUGUUAUACAUGAUCAUAUUAGUCAAGGAUUUGUGACAAAUGUCAAAUAACCAAAGUUUAGAUAUAAGCAAUAAAAUGAAAAUAUUAUUAAAAUAGUUGUAAAGCUUACCUAUUGAAGGAAAAUUACAGCAAGAAACAAUCACAAUAUAUUCAAGUUGGAGUUGGAUUGCACUUGGAGUGGUGAUACUUGACCCUCUCAUUAUAUUUCACUAGCCCUUGUUUUUUAGUUAACCCUAUUAAAAAUUUUAAACUAAUCUUUAUCUCUCAACAUACCCCAUCUUAUAUCGAAUUUACCCUUAUUAUAAUUUUUAUCUUUUUUCCAAAACAUUGUAUAAAACUUAUAAAAUCUAUUUUAAAAAGAAAAAAAAUUUAGAGUUACUAUAAUCUCUCUCUUUCUUUUUAAAAGUUUUAUUCACCGUGACCAUAACUGUAAAAAAAAAAAUUGAGUUUUGUUCAUCAUCCUCUAUUGAGUAUUGUAAAUUAACUUCUUUCACGAUUACAAAAAUAGAGUAUACAAUAGUUGAGAAGAGACAAUAAUUUAAAAAAGUUAAAAUAAAUUAAGGUUAAAGAAAUUAGAUUAGCUAAAUUAGACAUUAAUAGAAAUUAUCAUGUGAGUGCACUUAAAAACUAUUUAUCCUUUUAAGUUAUUUUAUAUAAGGAUAAAAUAGUUAUUAAUAUAAAAGUGAUUAGUGAAGGUUGGUGAGAUAUAAUGAGGGAGUCAAAUAUGACAACUCCUGCACUUAAAGAGCAUCCAAGCACACAAAUAAUAAUAAUAAUAAUACUAGUUAUGUUGUUUCCCAUAGCUUUUAUAAGUUUUCCUGGCCCAAGCAUCCCCUCAUUGUUGCUUAAUUCAUUUCGGCCCUUUUAACCCUUCAAGUUAUUUGAGCCUACUGAGCCCACUCCAGCUUCAAUCACCAUUUCAUUUUCCCGCCUGUGUUUUGUACUCCAGACACAUAUGGGUGCUUUAUUGCACUUUAAGAAAUUAGAUUAGUUAAAUUAGAUAUUAAUAGAAAUUAUUAUGUGGGUGUAUUUUAAAAGUUAUUUAUCCUUUUAAGUCAUUUUAUAUAAGGAUAAAAUAAUUAUUAGUAUAAAAAUAAUUUGUAGAGGCUGAUGAGAUAUAAAGAGGGAGUUAAAUAUGACAGCUCUUGCACUUAAAGAGCAUCCAUCCAAGCACACCCAAAAAAAAUAAAUACUAGUAAUGUUUUUCCCGUAGUUUUUAUAAGUUUUCCUGGCCCAAGCAUCCCUUCCUUCUACUUUUCAAUUAACUUUAGAAAAGUAGACAUAUCACAAAAUUGAACACCUAGUGAAAAGAGUGUAGUAAUUAGUAAAGCACCCAUAUGUGUAUAUAUGGCUCCCACGCACAUUUCAGUCAAUUGAUUAAUUAUCUUCGCAUUCCGCAUCAUUGUAACCCAGUGUAAAGAGAAAAAUCAAUUUCUCCAUGCUUUUUUUUUUUUUUUUUUGCAGUGAGAGAGUUGUUUUCUCUUUUUUUUUUUCAUUUUAUUAAAAAAAAUUUGUUUAAUCCUCUAUUCUUUUGUUUGUCGGUAAUUUUUUAACCCAAUAAGUUUAAAAAUUUUCCACAUAAAGUGCUUGUGUAUAAUUUUAUCUUCAAUAUUUUUUCAAAUUUCACUAUAAUUAUUGCAUGUCAUAAUUCCCUAACAAACACAAAAUUCCUCUGCAGCUAAUAUAAGGCAGCUUCUGAGAAAUUAUUGGGCGUACUUCAAAAAGGAAAAAGAAAUUAAAUUUUGAAAUUUUGUUUCAAAAUAAUUUUCACAGAUAUUUAUCAUAAAUCUUUUUUUCUAAGUCUUCUAAUUCCAACUCACAGUCAGCAAGUUAAACUGUCAUUCUAGGCAUCGUCAUUGAAAUUACUGAAUCUUUAAUUCGAAGAGGGUGUUUGUGUACUUAGGAUUUUAUAGUUCCUGGACGUCAGGAUUUUAUGGCUUUCCUCAUGCCAAAAUAAUGAAUUCAAAGUGUAUUUGAUCAUUCCCUUUUUAUCAUAUUCUUUAUUCUUUAUUUUGUUUUUGUUUUCACGGACGAGAUAGGGACUCAGCUAUCUUGCAACAGUUGCAAGGUACCAUCAAAUUUUGUCUUUUCUUAAUUUCAGUCCUUUGCCAUUAGAUUUAGUGAAAAUAUAGUUUCAAUAGUAGAGAUUUGUACAUUUAAAUAUUAACAUUACACUUUCUGAUAUUUAUUAAAAGCACAAACAAGUUAAAAAUGUAAAAGUUUUAGCACAUAAGUCUGGAUUGUUUACAAUUUAUAUUGUUUAAUUAGUAGUGAGUAUUAAAAAUAAAUUUUAUUUUUAAUAUUAUAUAUUUUAUUUAAAAGAAUAAAUUUUUAUUAUUAUUUAUUUUAUUAAAAAUAAAUGUUAUUUAAUAUUAUUUAUUCUAUUUUAUUUAAUAUUAUUUAGUCAUAUGCUUAUUAUUAUCUUUAUUCUCUCAAAAAACUAAAUAACAUAAAAUAAAAUAAAAUAAUCAAUAGGGAGCCUUAAAAAUAAAUAUUAUUUUAAUAUUUUUAUUUUUGUUUAUUUAAUAUUAUUUAAUCAUAGGCUUAUUAUUAUAUAUUUAUUUUUUAAAAAAUAAAUAAUAUUAAAUAAAAUAAAAUAAUCAGUAGUGAGCCUUAAAAAUAGAUAUCAUUUUUAAUAUUAUUUAAUUUUAUUUUAUUUAAUAUUAUUUAGUCAUAGGCUUAUUAUUAUAUUUAUUCUUUCAUAAAACUAAAUCAUGUUAAAUAAAAUAAAAUAAUCAGUAAUGAGUGUUAAAAGAUUAAUAUUAUUUUUAUUUAGUCAUAGGCUUUUAAUUAUAUUUAUUCUUUAAAAAACUGAAUAAUAUUAAAAAAUAAUAGUGUCUUAAAAAAUAUCAUUUUUAAUAUUAUUUAUUUUAUUUACUUUAAUAUUAUUUAGUCAUAGACUUAUUAUUAUAUUUAUUCUUUUUUAAAGAGAUAAAUAAUGUUAAAUAAAAUAAAAUUACAUUUUAGAAAGUUACUAGCCAAAGUAUAUAAACUUAUAAAUAAAUGAAAAAAAUAAUAUUAAAUAAAAUAAAAUUACAUUUUAAAGAGGUGCUAUUUCGUAGAGAUAAGAUGCUCGAUUCAGUAUGUUCCAUCAAACAAUUGCUCCACCAUUUGGCAUUUUUGUAGAUAAGCUAUCUUAAUCUGAUUAUUUUGUAGAUAAACUUCAAUGUACAAAACUCAGUCGUUUUGCAGCCGUUUGAUUAACCAUCAACAACUUGUAAUCCUGUGACAGUUUGAAACCAGAACAUAAUUAGUAUAAGCACAUAAAUUUUAGGAUCGAUUUAGACAUGGUAUGGUUUGAGUAUUUCUAACACUUCCUAGUGAUGCAUCUAUAGGAGUUUCUUUUAGAAAAUAUAUCAUUAAAUUGGCCAUCUUGACCAUUGACCAUCGUCUGAUUAUUAUUAUUUUUUAUCUCGCUUACCACGUUGAUAGUGCGGCAUUUUGGGUACUACAAAAAGCACAACGACGAUUAAAGAGCUGCUUCAAAUAAUUCAUCUUUCACUUUUGUUGGGUGAAGUGCCGCUUAACUACUUCAUGAUCCCCCCAGCACUUGAAGAGGGUACGUGUUUGUGUACUUAAGAGUUAAGACUAUCUAUAGUUUCUAUUUGUUGGGACUGUACGGUCUGCCCUAUUAAGCUUGCAUGGAACUUAACGUCGUAUUGCUAUAGUGUCACAAUAUAUACACGUUACAGCUAGCGAAAAUAACGAAGGAGAUAAUAAGUAAUACACUCCUUAACAUGAUGAACUACUGCACUUCUAAACAUAAUGAAAUACAACCAACUAAGAACGUGAAGAUCACGUUCAGCUAUUACGCCCCCGCAAGAGAGGUAUACCGUCGAGAACACCGAGCUUGGACCGUGCAUGCUCAAGGGGAAGCCGGGGAAGCGGCUUGGUUAAGAUAUCAGCGAGCUGAUGCUCCGAAGGAACAUGAGCAAUAGACAGCAAACCUUGCGCAAUCUUAUCACGAACAAAGUAAAAGUCAAUUUCCACAUGCUUCAUACGAGAGUGAUAUCUAGGAUUUGUGCAAACAUGAGUGGCACCAAGAUUGUCACAGAGCAGCUUGGGCAUAGGGGUCCGAAUACCAAGUUCGGAGAACAAGUGUCGAAGCCAACAAAGCUCAGAAACGGUAGCAGCAAUGGCGCGAAACUCGGCUUCAGUAGAGGAACGUGCCACAGACUUUUGCUUCUUCGAAGACCAGGAAAUGAGAUUGCCACCAAGGAAGAUAGCGUAAGCACUCGUAGAGCUGCGAUCAUCAAGAUUGCCCCCCCAGUCAGAAUCACUAUAAGCAGCAAGUAUAGAGGAUGAAGACUGACGAAGAAAAAGGCCAUGAAAAAUUGUAGCUUUCAAGUAGCGGAGAAUGCGCUUGGCAGCCUGCCAAUGCAACUGAGAGGGACUUUGCAUGAACUGAGAUAGUUUGUUGACCGCAAAGCAGAUGUCAGGACGAGUGAGAGUGAGAUAUUGCAAGGCACCAAGAAGCUGACGAUAAGACGUACCAUCAGCAGAGACAGAACCAUCGGUUUGUUGAAGACCAACGGUGGCAGACAGAGGAGUGGCAAUAGGUUUAGCAUCAGUCAUGCCAAACCGGUCCAAGAGAGAACGAACAUAGUGAUGCUGAGAGAGAAACACACCAGAAGGAGUGCGAAGCAACUCAAGCCCGAGAAAAUGAUGCAGAGAGCCAAGGUCCUUGAGAGCAAAAGUGGAAGCAAGACGAUGAAUGAAGUGCUGAAUAACCCGGCCAUGAGAACCAGUAAUAAUUAAGUCAUCCACAUAGACAAGGAAAUAAAUACGAUGACCAUCACGGUGAUAAAGAAAAAGAGAAGCAUCAGUCCUGCUUUGGUGGAAUCCAUAGGACAGCAAAAAUUUGUACAGAGUAAUAAACCAUGCCCGAGGCGCCUGCUUAAGGCCAUACAGGGACUUACGUAGCCUGCAGACAAAGGAAGGCUGGUUAGAGUCAAUAAAACCAGGCGGCUGCUUCAUGUAAACCUCCUCAUCAAGAGAACCAUUGAGGAAGGCGUUAUUGAUAUCCAACUGACGAAUCGGCCAACCAAAUUGCAAGGCUAAACAAAGAAUAACACGAACAGUAGUGGUCUUGACAACAGGGCUGAAAGUAUCGUGGUAGUCGAGACCAGGACGCUGAGUAAAGCCCUUAGCAACCAGCCGCGCUUUAUACCUGUCAACAGAACCAUUGGGGUGGCGUUUGACACGAAACACCCACUUACAACCAACCAAAUUUUGAGAAGGUACAGGAGGAACAAGAUCCCAAGUAUGAUUAGAAAUAAGAGCAUUAUAUUCAAUACGCAUGGCCUGAAGCCAUUGCGGGUCGGCAAGGGCAGCCUUAAUACUAGUUGGUUCAACAGUAGAGGGCAGCGGAUGUGUGGAAAUAAUAGGAGCGAGGGUAGUGUGGUCAAGCUGUUUUGGUUUAUAAAUGUUAUUGCGUGACCGGGUUAUCAUUGGAUGGGUUCGGGUCGGCAGUGGAGGUGGAGGUGUUGGUGGUGAUGGUGAUGGGGCUGUUGGUGACAACGGGAAAGUAGAUGGGGCCGGUGAUGAAAGAUUAGAAAUGGGAGAUGAGGGAGUUAGUACUGGUGCAUGGACAUGGGGAGGUAAAGAGUCAUAAGUAUGAGGGUUAUGAAUAAUACCCGAAGUAGAGGUGGAAGAGGCCGGUGAAGAAUCGGAGCUAGCAGGAAGCGAAUCCGAAGUUGCAAGACGGGAACCACCAGGAGAAGAGGAGUGAGCCGACAGAACCGGGACGGAAAAAAUGGAUGGAAACCAGGAGGUGAGUGAAACAGAGGAGGGAGAGGCAGUGGAUGUGAGAGAUUGAUAGGGAAAUUGAGACUCAAUAAAUUGAACAUCACGGGAAACAUAAAUCUUACCAGACUGAACAUCUAAACACUUGUAUGCACUUUGUUGUAGGCAAUAACCGAGAAACACACAAGGCUUGGACUUGGGCUCUAGUUUGUUGCGCGUAUAUGGGCGUAACCAUGGGAAACAGAGACACCCAAAUACACGUAGUUUGUCAUAAUUAGGAUGGGCAUCAAAUAAGAGCUGGAACGGACAGGUCAUGUAUGUAGUUUUGGAUGGUAGACGAUUAAUUAAGUAGGUGGCGGUUUGAAACGCAAACGUCCAAAAGCUAGGAGGUAGUGAGGCUUGAUGCAGUAACGCCAACCCCGUCUCAACAAUAUGUCGAUGACGACGUUCGGCGACUCCAUUAUGUUGUGGUGUGUAGGGUGGUGUAAACAAGUGAUUAAUGCCCGUCUGUUGAAAAAAUGAAGUGAGUUUGAGGAACUCACCACCACCGUCGGUGUAAAUAUUACGAAUAGUAGUACGAAAAUAAUUUUCAACAAGUGUUUUAAAACGAACAAAUGUAGAGAAAACAUCAGAUUUUAGUCGUAACGGAAAAAAACCAGACAUACUUAGUAAAAUGAUCAACGAAAAUCACAUAGUACUUAUAAUUAUCAAAGGAAGUAACAGGGGCAGGACCCCAAACAUCAGAAUAUAUUAAAUCCAAGGGACGAGUACUACAUAAAGAAGAUUUGCCAAAAGGGAGCCGAUGGCUCUUAUUGCAUAAACAAGACUCACAAGACUCAAAAUCCAAGUGCGAAGACAAAUUGAAAGUACGAAGAACAAAUUUCAAAAUAUCCCUAGACGGAUGGCCUAGACGUUGAUGCCAAUGAGCGGCAUUAGUUUUUAUUGUAGCAUUUGAAGUGGGCAAGGCUGGUACGGGGAAAGAAGAAGCUGCCGGCCACUCAUAGACACCCUGAUUAUUCCGGCCUUGCAAGAGGACCGCCCCCGUGCUCAAAUCCUUCACCUGAAAAUGAUCAUGAAAGAAUUCAAUGAAGGCUUUAUUAACAUUGCAAAAUUGAGACACAGAGAUUAAAUUUCUGUUGAUAGUCGGAACAUAAAGAAUAUUUUGCAAAUAAAAUUUUGAGCUAGAGGUACAUAAGGAAGUUGAGCCAGUGUGAGAUAUACCAAGACCCAUGCCAUUACCAACAAUGACGGAAUCAGAACCAUGGUAAGGACUAUGAGUGCUCAAAUUUCGGAGAUCUCCUGUAACAUGAUGUGAGGCGGCACUGUCGACUAACCAAUUGGGGUUGGAUGUGCCUGUGGUUGCUGUGUGGUUCAUAGUCGGACUGUUUUUGUGGGAGGUAAAAUCUGGACAAUCUCGUGCUGUAUGACCCUUGGUACCGCAAAGUUGACAGUAGCCCUGGUACCCGGUGGGCUGCUUCUUUUGAUAUCCUCCAUUGUUGCGAUACUGGCCUUGUGGGUUGCGAUUCUGAGACUGGUAAUUUCUGUUGUUGUUGCCAUUUUGAUUUGGAUACCCACGGUUAGAACCAUUAUUAAAUCCCGGAUUGCUGUCUCUUCUCUGGUUCUGAUAAGGGCCACGGUUUGUUGUUUGUUGUUUGACUGCGGCAUUGACAGUGAUAGCCGUGUCCAUGGAUUUUUCCUCUCGCUUCAACAUAUCUUCGUAAUCUACAAGCUUUUCAUACAGCUCAUCAAAGGAAAGUGGUGUCUCACGGAUCCGAACACCAGCAAUAAUUUCUUUGAAAUCUUUUCCUACGCCAUUAAUAAUUUGUAUAACGAGAUCAUCAUCUGUAACAGGAACAUCAAUCAAAGUAAUUUCAUCAGAAAUAGAACGUAAGUUAUUUAAAUAUUCGGCAACAGGUUGUCCAUCACGACGAGGUCGUGCAAGUCGUUCUCUAAGAGAGAUGACGCGACUACGGCUACGAUUGGAGUAUAGCCGUGCAAGCUUAUCCCACGCUUGUUUGGAUGUUGUGGAACUAGCUAUGAGUGGGGCAACUCUUUCGGUGCAGGAGGCUAGGAUGGAAUGAAAGAUCAACUGAUCUUGGCGUUUCCAUAAGGUAUAGGCUGUGUUGAUGGUAGGCGGACCAUUACUGCUGCCAGUUUCAUACGGAGAAGGGCACUCAGAUGUGCCAUCAAUGUAACAUGUCAGAUUGUAGCCAAAAGCUAAAGAGAGGAAUUGCGCUCUCCAUGUAAAAUAAUUUUCAGGUGUAAGCCGUAUAGGCAAUUGGGCAGCGGCGUUGAUUGAAACACAAUCAUUAGCUUGGUUAUUUGAUGAGUGGGGACUUUGGUUGGCUGGUGAGGUAGAGGAGAUGGCUGAGGGUUCGGCAGCCAUGGUGAAAGAAAAGAAAAAAGAAGGAUCGAUUUACUCUUGUUAGAGAGAGAAAGAGGGCUCUGAUACCAUAUUAAGCUUGCAUGGAACUUAACGUCGUAUUGCUAUAGUGUCACAAUAUAUACACGUUACAGCUAGCGAAAAUAACGAAGGAGAUAAUAAGUAAUACACUCCUUAACAUGAUGAACUACUGCACUUCUAAACAUAAUGAAAUACAACCAACUAAGAACGUGAAGAUCACGUUCAGCUAUUUGCCCUUCUGUCAUAACAAUGGAUUCAAAGUGUAUUUGAAUUCCACUUAUCAUAUUAAUUAUUCUGUUUAUUAUUUUGUUUUUGCUUUUUCGUUUUCAUUUUUCAUUAUACAUACAUACAUACAUACAUACAUACAUACAUAUAUAUAUGAAUUUUUACAAAAGAUGAUUUUGUCUUUGUAAUGUAAGUUUAACAAAGGUUAUAUUUGUUGAUUUAUACAUAUAAUAGAUUGUUUCAAUCUCCUAACAAGAGGAACAAAAGUAAUUACAAAUGAUUUGUCAAAUUUUGUUAAGUUACAAAAUAGUAUAUUAUACACUCAAAUCUAACAUCAAAUACAUAGCAAACAACAACUUCAAAAGCAAAAUCCCUAGAAGCAACUCCCAUAUCUUCAUCAACCAACGGCUUCAAAAGCAUCCCAUGAUUUUUGUUAAUAAUUCAUAGUUUCAUGACUGCAUAUUUUUAUUGAGUGAAGCCUUGCUUAAAAAACCCAUUCCACGAUCCCAGUCCCACCACGCACUUUGUAUAAAAUUCAAUUUAUUAGAAUAAUUAGAAUCAUUAGAAGAGGAAAUAUGUUUGUGUACUUUGGACUACAUAUGGUUCCUGAACGUUGGGAUUUUACGUGUGCCCCUUGCCUCCAUGUCAAAACAAUAUAUUUAAUUAAAGUGCAUUUGAAAUCCAUUAAGCAUAUUCUUCUAAUCUUCUCUUCAUUAUUUUGUUUUUGUAUAUGUUUGAUCAGUUCUGGUCGGUUAUAUAUACACAUGUACCAUUUGGAAAUAUCACAUUUUAUUCCCCAAUGCGAUAUAUUUUCUUCUCCAUUGAAGGUUCUCUGAAUGCUAUUAACCAAAAAAUGCAACAUUCUGUUCUGUUUAUGAAUUGGGAUUAUUUGCUUCUGGCUGUCACUGACUCAUUGAACAUUAGCAAUAUAGCAUUAGGUAGUGCCAGCUCUUUUCUUUUUUGUCUUUGUCUUCUCUAGUUCGAGCUACAAAUCCAUGUUCCGAUGAAUUCCUUUUCCAUCUCCUCUCCAUUGUUUGGCUUCAAUAUUUUGGAUUUGAAGUAAAUUUUCCGCAUAUUUAUUUUGCAUCAACCUUAACAUUGUAUGUGAAAAAAUUCUGCAUAUUUAUUUUGUCCUGCAGAGACGAUUUUUUGAAACUCACAUACAAUAACAUAAGGCAGCUUCAAAGAAAUUACUGGGUGGAGUUCAAAAUGAGAAAAGAAAUUAAAUUUUAUUGGACCACCGUCAUGAAAUUUUAAAUUUUUUGGACCACAAUCCGCCUUUGUCUUUUCAUGUGAUUGCAAGCUACUCGAUGACAUUGAUUGAUCAUUGACACACGCACACGGAUAAGUCAGUGUUUACGGGGAAAGAUAAUAUAUAUAUAUAUAUAUAUUCCACUAUUAAAAUAGGGAAUAUAAAUAUUGAAAUAUUUAUCUUACAAUCCAAAUUCUUAAUACAAUCAAGUUCUCAGAUCACUCGAGAACAUUUUAGUUAUCUCAGUUACUAAAGAAUUGCAUUUUAGUUAUCUCAGUUACUAAAGCUUGCUUCUCAUAAAACACACGUUAAGUUUUCAAAUUGUUGGAGAACUUUUCUCUCACUGGCUCAUGAAUUUUGCAUCCAAUUUAUAAACAAAUCUAGAUUUCAAAUGUAAAAUUAUGAUUUUUUGUCCUUCACAUCCAGCAUCCAAGAAGGCUCAAGGAAAGUAAGUAAUCGUGAGUAUGAAUCUAUUAAAAAAUAUGCUCUGAGAUUAAUUGUUCUUUUAGAUUAAUUGGUCUUUUAUUUUAUUUUUAUUUUUAUUAUUUUCUUUAGUGACGGUGGCGAAUAUUAUUUACGCCUUUUUUUAUUAUUAAUUUUUAGCUAUCAUUCCCUAUUUCUUUCCUUUGGAAAAACGCUGUUCAACAAUAACCAUAAAGCUGCAAUUUAAGGCCCUACUCUUCAGCAAAAUUAUUGUGGAGGGUGCAGAAAUAGUAAUAGAGUGUUUUAGUCUAUUCAGUGUGCAAAUAACCCAAUGUUAUAAGAGUUAUGAAUAUAUGUUGUAUGUAUUUGUAAUAUUUUUGUUUUGGGCGGGGGUUAUAUUAAUUUAAGAAUUUAACUUAAAUCUAGACAUCAAAAUAUGACCAUUUAUUUCGUUCAAUCAAUUAACACACGAGGAUUGUUUGUUGAUUGGAGAGGCUAAAACUGAGUGGGAAAGUAAAGCAACAGAGGAAUAGAAAAGAUCUAUGACAAAGAUCGAUGAACAGAAGUGGAGAGGAACAACAGUGGGCAUGAUCUAAUAUUGAAUUACAAAUAUGUUGGCCUUACGGAAUAUGUCGUUGACAAAAUUAUGGAGUAUUGAUUUCUUGGGGAUGAAUAUGAUUUGUGAGAAUGGGGAUGAAUUUUGUUUCCCCCAAUUUAGGUUAGGAAUUGCUAUUACUAGUAUAAUCGUUGAGGAAUGAGGAAAAAGAGUCGGUAUUCUCUCUCUUCCUUUAUUAAGUUUUAAUAUGUCAUCUAUGUUUUUUGUUUUCUGAAUCUUAUUUUAUUAAAGUUUUACUAUCACAUAAUCAAUCAUCUCAUACCUUAGAAUGAAUUAAAUAAAUUUUAAAGUUUUGAUGCUUAGAUUACAAUCAUAUUCUUAAGUUAAAAUAUCCCCUCCCGUUUGUUUUUUAUCUAAAAAAAGAAAAAAAAACAUUGGUACUAAAAAAUAAAUAAUCUUAUUUUUACUGAAAAUACAAUAUUUUUAGUCUUCUAAUUUGUUUAUUUUAAAAGUAACUCAUUCACUGCUUUGCAAAAUCAAAAUCUCCUGUGGCAAUGAAUUGAUUUUACAAGAAGUAAUUUUAAUAGUUUUUACCAACCAUUUAAAUUCAUCAUUAGCUUCUCAAUAUCACUUUUGAAAAUCCCAACAACAAUCUCAAAUUGGUCAAUAAAUUACUUCAUUUUCUAAAUAGUAAACAUAAAAUGAUGGAAAUAAUUUUUAUAUCAUGAAAGUAAAAAUAAUUUUAUUAUUUGUAUCAAAUUAAUAUUAUUUAGAUAUAUUUAUAUUUAAUUAUUAUGUUAUUAAAUUAUCAAAUAAUAAAAAUAAUAUUUUUAUUCACAAUAAGACAAAUUUAGAGAAAAAUUAGAUGGUGUUUGCUAGGAAAACUUAAGAAGGAAAUUAAUAUGGAACUGUCCCACCACUUGGGAUUCUUUCACGGAGCGUUUCAGUGGAUCUCAUUGAAUUUUAUUUUGAAAAAUCAAUUGAUAAUACUGGGAUGGUAUAGCCUGAUAAUACUCUGAGCGGUCCCUUCAACCUUUUUAGUUGUCGUACACGAAUUAUUUCUUCACUUGAAAUAAAAGUCAACAAAGCUGCAUCUUCACUGAAAUUAUUGUCCACAGUGCUUCCUGGAAAAUGAGAUAAAGAUAAUUUUGAAGAAACUUUUAGGAAGAUUCCAAGCAUUAAUAAUUAUUUAUAUUUACUUAUAAUAAAUUACUUUUAAUAAUAAUAAUUUAUAUCAUGAGUAUUUCUAUUAUAAAAUUUUUAUAUGAAUGUAAGUGCAUAAAAUAAUUGUUUAGAGUGUAAAUAAUCUCGUCUAAUUGAUAAUCCUCGCUAAUCAAAUACAAUUUGUUAAUAGGGCACGAGUCACUGCCCCCCUUGAGAAUUGAGCACAGAAGCAUUUACUAUUUUCUAUGGUGGAUUGUUGGGAAAUUUACACCCUUUCCACAUUUUUCCCUGGAAGGUUCCAAGCAUCGUUUUACUCUGCACAGACACUGCAGUCACCAACGUUUGCUCGAGAAAAAUACGCCGAAUUUUCCGGGAAAUUUUUUGCUUUUUCUCUUCAAAAGUAAAGUUUGGGGACAGAAAUGUUAAAGGUUUAAAGGUGGGUACAAUUAUUCUUCUUGUUGUUAUUUACGCAUUGCCUUCCAUUCACAUUAGUCGGUCUUCAAUUAAUUUUAGAUAAGGAAAUGAAACUACCACAAAAUUAACUCCAAGUGAGGGACUACUGAAGCAGCCAUAUAUUCCACGCGCAUUUUAUUCAUUUAAUUAACUUAUGAUCACAUCCCACAUCAUAUUAUUAUUGUAUCAACUUGCACGGUCGUAACAAUUAACAGAAAUUUUCAUUAAAAUUAUUACAUUAAUUUUAAAAUAGAAAUAAGAAAAAAAAAUCUUAAUACUGAAAAAACAUAAGAUGAAAUCGUGUGUCAUUUGUCACGAGUCAAACUUUUGAGAAAAAUACACGAAUGAAUGUGGCGCGUAAAAGGUGUUGAUGUACUAUCAACAUUUUCAUUUUAUUUUUAUUUAACUUCCAUAUAUUUUUUUUAUAAGCUGUCAUCAAUUAUUUGUUUCUUGCUCUGCGCGUGCACGACAAGACCUACUAUUUGCACCCUUUUAACCCUUUUAGUUGUCAUGCACUAUUUUCCUUCUUCACUUGAAAUGAAACAGUCGGUAAAGCUGCAUCUUCAGUCGAAUGUAAACUUUUUAAGAAAAUAAACAUGUUAGCAACCAAUCAGGGGCAUGAAAAUGGUUGUACAUAUAUAUAUUUGCUGACAAUUCCUCUUUGAAAUUAAUCGUCUUUUAUAUUAUCUUUCAAAAUAUAAUAUAUCUGAUCACAUGGAUUAAUUUAGAGGAUAUAUAAUUUCAAUGAAAGACUACUAAUCGAGGGCAGUUUCGAUUCUGAUUGAAUGGUAGAUGUAUAUAUGAGCAUCAUUCUAAUCAUUAAAUUGCUAAAAUUAGGAAGUUAACUUCGAUCCAACAAUUAACUUUAAUGGAGCAGCAGGGAGUUGUUUUCUUGUUUAAUUGUUUUGUUUAUGUUAGAGUUAUUUUAUUAAUAAAAAAUUGGGUUAUUAUCAUUUCACUAUUUUAAAAAUUGUGAAAUAUCAAAUGACUACAACAAGUAUUGUCUCUUAUCAAUUUUCUAUUAUAUCUUUAUAAAAAUAUCAUUUUACUACUUUUUUGUUAUAACCAUUAGUUGACCAAUUAAUUGACUAACAAAAUACCAAUUUUCACCCUUCAUGAUUAAAAAAAAAUACUUAAAACUUAUUUACAAAAUAAAUUUGUAAUAUAUUUAUUCAAAUGAAUAUAAAAUACGGGAAAAGGACAAACACACCCCUAACGUUUAAGCAAAGGGACAAAAACUCCCCUAAUGUUUCAAAAAAGACAUUUACACCCAAAUUUAUUAUAAUUUUACUAUUAUACCCUUCUAGCAUAUAUAUAAAAAAUUAUUAGAUUAUCCAAUUUGUCUAUAUAUUGUUAAUAAAAUUAUAAAUAGACCCUCAUUGCCUCAUUCUUCUAUUUAAAUUUUUAUCAAUAACCAAUUUUCAAAAAAGACAUCUACACACUUAAAAAAAAUUAUAAAUAAAUUAUAAUUUUAAAAAUAAAAUUGGUUAUCAAUACCAUAAUAAAUAACAUAGAAAAUUAGUUAUAAAUAUACAAGUUUAAAUGAUUGACAUGUGGAGAAUCGUUAAAUAUGCAAGUUUAAAGUUUAAAUAAAAUUGGUUAUUAAUAACUAAUUUUAUUUUAAACUUAUAAUUUAUUUACAAUUUUUUUAGGUGUAUAGAUUUUUUUUUUUCAAAUUGAUUAUUGAUAAAAAUUUAAAUAGAGGAAUUGGGCAAUGAUGGUAUAUUUAUAAUUUUUUUAUAAUAUCCAACUAGUCUAUUUAUAAUUUUAUUAAUAAUAUAUAGACAAAUUGGAUAAUCUAAUAAUUUUUUUAUAUGUUAGAAGGGUAUAAUGGUAAAAUUAUAAUAAAUUGGGGUGUAAAUGUCUUUUUUGAAAUGUUAAAGAGGAUUUUUGUCCCGUUACCUAAACGUUGGGGGUGUGUUUGUCCUUUUUCCUAUAAAAUACCAACAUAAUUCUUUUUGCUGGAAUUAUGAUAUAUGAAUUACAAAUUUAUCUUAUUAUUUUUUUAAUCAUGAAGGGUAAAAUUGAUAUUUUAUUAGUUAACUAACUGGUCAACUAACGGUUGUAACGAAAAAGUAGUAAAAUGAUAUUUGUUGUAACAGAAAAGUAGUAAAAUAAUAUUUUUAUAAAGAUAUAUUAUGAAAAUGAUAGGAGAUAAUACUUGUUGUAAUCAUUUGAUAGUUGACAAUUUUUAAAGUAGUAAAAUGAUAAUAACCCUAAAAAAUUUAGUUAAAAAAGGGUCUAAUGAAUAUUUUGGAAGGUUUAAAUAACCUCACCCCCCCUUUUUUUUUUAUAAUGGAUGCUUUUAUGAUUUUAUCCUCACCAACCUAAUUUAUAUGAAAUAGUAUACUAAUGUUAGGGGAGGUAUUUGAGAAUAUGUGAAUAUAAUUUAUUAAACGGAGAAUACGCCAAAAAUUAGGGGAGGUUUCUGAUAAUUACCCUUUUAGUUACUCCUCCUCAAUCCGUCCAAGGGCAUGAACUUGAGGGAAGGGUCAGGUUCUGUGGUGGUGUUAAUAAAAAGAUAAAUUACAUUGGAAAGUAAGUGGCGUUUGUUGGGAAAUUCACACCCUUUAACCUUUUAGCUGUCAUUCGCUGUUUUCUGAUCAAAAUGAGUCAACAAAGUGAUUCAACUUCCAAGCACCGACAUAUUCCACAGUUCUUUGAUUCAAUUAAUGUUUUAUCUUAUCAAAAUCUAUCUAAUCAAUUGAACUGUUUCUGCUAUGGCUUCAGGUACCAGUACCACAAUUAACAUGUAAAUUUGAAGGAUCAUGCUACGUUACAAAUUAUAAAAUGGGGUGUCUGAUCUACUUAGACCCACCACCAGUUAAUCCAUUGGGCUUAUCUUAAUUUUGCCUAACAUAAUCUGUACGGUAGGCGAGCCCAAGUGUAAAUAAAUCAUGUGUUUAAGAAGAAGCGUUAAAAAGUUGUUAAAUAAUUCUACAUAUUGUGGAAGUGGUGUAAAUCGUGUAUUUAUAGAAAAAAAUGUAUUGAAAAAUCUAAGUCAUAUAUUGAUCUACAAGUGAGUGGUCCAUAGACACUCUGUAGUUAAUUAGAGGAGCUGUUGAUUUGAGAUAUGAAUUUACAAAUGUAAAUUCAUGAGAGAAAAACAAAAUUUUCUGGUCAAAAUCUUUGAACACUGUAGUUAAUUGAAUGAAACACAUCGCAUUUUCUGGGAAAUAUUUUAGCUUUUUGUCAUUGCCUCACAUUAGUCGGUCUUCAGUGGUAGUGAAGCAUCCAUAUCUUUUACGUGCAUUUCAUUCAAUUAAUUUAUUAUCAUCACAUCCCACGUUAUUGUUUCAACUUGCACCGUCCGAAUAACUAACAAGAAUCUUUAUUGAAAUUAUUGUGCCACUUUUAGAAAAGACAUAGGAAAAAAGUUGAAUUCACAAGUCCAACUUUAAAAAGGCCGAAAAAAAAAAAAGACUGGAGUAGAUGUCACAAGUAUUAAAUGCAUUGAUGAGGUUUCAACAUUUUUUAAAAAUAUUUUUAUAUAAUUUUUUACCAAAGUUCAAAUAACUAUUUUCAAUUAGUUUUAAAGUAAUAUAUAUAAGAUGAUGAUGAUAAUACGGGAUCAACAUAAACAUAAAAUUCAUUGGUGCUCCAUCAACAUUGAUUUUCCCAUCUCUUCAGUAAAUGUUUUACAUAUUUGUUUUGCAUCUAAUUUAAUAUUAUUGAAAGUUAAUAGACGUGAUUAGUAAUAAAUAGAAGACUAAAAAUAUUUAAAGAAAUAGGGCUAAGCGUGCUGCGUGCAUGAAAAUAAAUACAAGAGAUUAAAUGAAAAGAAAAGAUUGGGUGGUUGACUUCAAAAUGGACACAUAAAAUAAAUUUUGAAUUUUGUUUCAAAAUAAUUUCCAGCAUACAAAUUUAAUUAUAUAGUAACUCCUUUUUCUAUGUCUUCUAAUUUCAACCUACAGUCAGCAAGUUAAACCGUUAUUCUAGUUCUAGGCAUCUUCAUUGGGAUUAUUGCAUCUAUACUUUACCAAAGGGAAAAAAAAUUGUCACGAAACAGCGUGGAAGGUUCAGAGAAAAUAUUUGCUAGUGUUUUCUUUUUUUUAAAUUUAAUUGGUUGAAUUUAUUUUUUUAUUUUUUUUAAAAAAGAAAACUGUAUUACAAAACUUCCCGGUAGGUUCCACAGAACUAUCUAAUAAAGCAUCUUUAUAUAACCUCCAUUGACACAGUCGCAUUAAAUUAUUUUCACAUCCCAAAUUUUCUCAUCUGAUCAAAUCUCUCAUCCACUGAACUGUUAUGGCUUCUUCUUCCUCUUGUCCACCUCGAAACGCUAAGAAGAUGUAUGACGUUUUUCUGAGUUUCAGAGGAGAGGACACCCGUGACAACUUUACUAGCAUUCUUCACCUUUUUUUGUCUAUGAAAAGUAUCAAAACUUUCGUUGAUGACCAACUUAUCAGAGGAGAGAACAUUUC